CUUGGCCCAUUGGUUGACCAAGGGUUGAUUAAUGCUUCUACACCAAAAAGUCUGGGGUUCGAGUCCCAGGUAUUGCGAUUUAUUAACAAAUUUGCAGAUUAAUGGAGGCAAGUGUGCAAGAGAUCUCCAGCGAUGUACAAUUAUAGCCGUUCGCCAGGAUUCUACGCAGAGAAGGAAGUGUAGCGAGGUCGUGGAUCAUUGAAGGUAUUCAUCAAGAUUACGAAGAAGGAAGUGUAGUCUGUCGUGAAUCUAGUAAGGGUCGGAAGGAAUUGUCAGUUGUAGAAUCGUCUAUGUAACAGUUCUCAUAAUUUGCAAUUAAUAAUAAAUCUAGACGACAAAAAAAAAAAAAAGCAAUUAUAUUGGUUAGUGGAUAAUACAUGCAAUUUUAAAUAUUCACAGAAGAAACAGACAACGACACUAUCAUUUAAACAUAUCUCGUAGCUUUAUUGCUUCAUGAGAACAAAAAUCUCCUUAAGUCAGUAAACUUUCGAAGCUUUAUACAUACGAACCAUGCCUUGCCAUAGGCAGCAAACUCUUACUCAAACUCUUACGACAAAAUAUAAAUUGUAUCCAAGCCACAAUAGCCUCAGACAAUUUUUUAUACUCUAUAAAAGUCACGAGAAAGUCACCAGCGAAAGUGGGAGUAACGUGUGACCGUUGUAGCAGGACGUGAGGGCCAAGGAUAAAGAUUGCCCAAAAGAAGAAUAAAAAACAUAUAAUGCAAAUGAUGAUUAAAAGCCAUCUCAUAUGCCCAAUUGCAGUGACCACUGUUGUUUAUUCUUUCUAGUGGAGGAAGGAAAAUUAUAUGUAUAUAUUAUAUAUAUAUAAAAGAAGAAAAAAAGAAAGNNNNNNNNNNNNNNNNNNNNNNNNNNNNNNNNNNNNNNNNNNNNNNNNNNNNNNNNNNNNNNNNNNNNNNNNNNNNNNNNNNNNNNNNNNNNNNNNNNNNNNNNNNNNNNNNNNNNNNNNNNNNNNNNNNNNNNNNNNNNNNNNNNNNNNNNNNNNNNNNNNNNNNNNNNNNNNNNNNNNNNNNNNNNNNNNNNNNNNNNNNNNNNNNNNNNNNNNNNNNNNNNNNNNNNNNNNNNNNNNNNNNNNNNNNNNNNNNNNNNNNNNNNNNNNNNNNNNNNNNNNNNNNNNNNNNNNNNNNNNNNNNNNNNNNNNNNNNNNNNNNNNNNNNNNNNNNNNNNNNNNNNNNNNNNNNNNNNNNNNNNNNNNNNNNNNNNNNNNNNNNNNNNNNNNNNNNNNNNNNNNNNNNNNNNNNNNNNNNNNNNNNNNNNNNNNNNNNNNNNNNNNNNNNNNNNNNNNNNNNNNNNNNNNNNNNNNNNNNNNNNNNNNNNNNNNNNNNNNNNNNNNNNNNNNNNNNNNNNNNNNNNNNNNNNNNNNNNNNNNNNNNNNNNNNNNNNNNNNNNNNNNNNNNNNNNNNNNNNNNNNNNNNNNNNNNNNNNNNNNNNNNNNNNNNNNNNNNNNNNNNNNNNNNNNNNNNNNNNNNNNNNNNNNNNNNNNNNNNNNNNNNNNNNNNUCUGCGGAUUUGCGAGCCGGCCCGCGGACUACAAAUAUUUAAUAAAAAUAAAUAAUUAAUAUAAAUAAAUAAAUAUUUUUACAUAAUUCUAAAAAUAUAUAUGUGAAAUAUAUGAACAUAUAACAAAAUUUAAUGUAUAAAAUUAUAAGAUUUACAAAAAAAUUAAUUCUAAAAGUUUUUUUUAUUGAAAAAUUGUUAAUUUCAAAUUUUAAAAAGUAAUUUUAUUUUUUUAAUUAUUUUUAAAAUAUUUAAAACUAAGCCCGCGGGCCGGCCCGCUAAUCCGUUGGGCUUAGCGGGGCGGGCCUGGACAUAUUAUUUUUGACCGCGGUCCUAGCGGGCCGGCCCGCCGCGAUCUCAUAAAUUUAAAUGCCCAUCGCGGGCCGGCCCAAAUGGACGCGGGCCGGCCCGUUUGACACCUCUACUCACAUUGGUGAACAUUUUAAACCUUUGUAAUUUUAAUUUUAUGCACACAUGUAAUCUAGCAAAUUAGGUGCAUAUACAGUAGUAUAGCAAAACAAGCGAGAUGUGAUUCUCAAAAAUUUCAAUCAAUGAAAUCUGUUAAGUAUUUAUUUAUAACAAUAUAAUACCUCUUUUUUUACAUCCAAAAAGUUAUACUCAGUAAAAAAAGCAUUUAUUUAUAACAAAAUACUUUUUUUUUUUAACAUAUUACAAUUAUUCUCGUACAAAAAAAGAAGUUGUGUCCCGUCUUACCGUAGUAAAUGAGUCGCGUUUUAUUAAUUGCCGGCUUACAUAAAUACUCAAAUGACUCGGACGAACGCCAUUGGCCAGGCAACGUGUAAAGCAUCCUACGUGGCGUUUACUUCCCAACGAAGUAGCGAGUACAAAAAACCCCAUUAUUGUACUCGCGCGAGUAGGUCGACGAAAUAAAUAUAUCACCUUUUUGACCCCAAAAAUUUCUAAAUAUUUCAAAAUCGGCCUCUUCGUUUUCUUUCUCCUCCUUUGUUUAUGUCUGUCGAUUUAAAGACCCAAAUCUGACUUCUCUCUCUCUCUUUUGGUCUCUGCGUUUGAUUCGGGAGAAGAAAAAUAAAAGCUUCAAUGGAGUUAGCGUCUUUUCUUGGUAGAGCUCUGUUUGUUUCCGUCUUUCUUCUCUCCGCAUGGCAAGAGUAAGCAAUUUCUCUUCUUACUCGUUUUUAGAUCUGCUCUUUUGACUAUGUAUAUAGUAGGAUCUGCUUUUGUAUCUGAGAAAAUUCAAAAUCUGGGCUCUAGUUCGUGAAUCUUGUUGAAUCAUAGCUUAGUGAGGUUUGAAGAAGAAAAAGAAUAGAAUGUUAGACAGUGAAAAGAAUAAGUAUGGAUCUUGCUUGCUUUGAUGGAGUUGAAUUUGAAUUUGAUAGAUUAGAUAUCUCUGGUUAGAUUUUGUUUAUGAUUGGUCAAUAACUCUUCGACAUUGCUAGGUUUUCUUCUUUUACUCAUCUCUUUCACUAAUUUUGGAACUUUGGUUUUCUAAAGGUCUUUCUUUUAUUGCUCAUUAAUUGGGUUGUCCUGAAGUUGCGAAGUUGCGAAGUUAGGUUGGUCUCUUUGGUAGUUGGUGGUUGGUUAUUUAAACACAUGAUUCUAAAGUCUUGGAACCAAGGAAAUCUUACUAGGUGCUUUCUUUUGAUUGUUGUCAUUCCAUUGACUCAACGAAUGAACUCAUGUGGUCAAUGUUUNNNNNNNNNNNNNNNNNNNNNNNNNNNNNNNNNNNNNNNNNNNNNNNNNNNNNNNNNNNNNNNNNNNNNNNNNNNNNNNNNNNNNNNNNNNNNNNNNNNNNNNNNNNNNNNNNNNNNNNNNNNNNNNNNNNNNNNNNNNCUUGACUCUCUCUGCUUGGUUUAUAUGAGAUGCAUUGCAAUUUGAGUCACUUACAGAGACAAUUCACCUCUCUUUUGUUUUUUCCCUCACUGAUUGAAAGUUACAAUAUUUUUGUUGCUUCAUUGAGCAGGUUUAAUGAUUUUGGUGAGGAUGGUGGCCGAUCAGCUAAAUCUUUGAAACCAAAAUUCAAUGCCUUUGUAAACCAUGUGACAACUCAUACUGGCCAGCAAUUGCCACCAGUCGAUGUAUGUGCUACUUCAUUUCUAAACAGUAACCAAAUCGUCUUUUUUUAGUUUUCCUAUUUUGUUCACUCUGCUUUGGUUUGCAGAUGAAGAUUCUUGUUGCUGCUGCCAUAGCCUUGAAGGGUAUUGGGGGACUGUUGUUCGUCUUUGGCAGCUCCUUGGGAGCUUAUCUCUUGGUAUGUAGCAACUGUUCCUUUCAAAUAUAUUGUCGCUUAUCUGAAUGAAGAAAAUAACCCUGCUAUACUCUAUGAAAUCUGGUUUCAGCUUCUGCAUCAAGCCGUUGCCACCCCAAUUCUGUACGAUUUCUACAACUACGAUGUUGACAGAAAGGAAUUUGGCCAACUAUUUUCAAAAUUUACUCAGGUUAGCAAAUCUAAUAUUGGUUUUUUUUGUUGGUUAUCCUUGCCUAGCAUUAAGCGAGAAUGAAGUCUAAACAAAUUCAGUUGUAAAAUAAUAUAAGUAGUGGUUUUACGGGUUGGAAUUUGAGUUCCAUAUUCAUUCUUAAUCCAGACCUGAGAUCUUAUAUUUUGUGUAUUUGAAUCUUUCAGAGCUUGGCUCUCCUUGGAGCACUGCUCUUCUUCAUUGGGAUGAAGAACUCAAGGAAACACGGUAGGCAACUCAGGAAAAAGGCUCCAAAGGCAAAAGCAAACUGAAAAAGCCACAUCUUUCAUCGGUUUAUUCGGUCUGUAUUUUAUUUUCAUUUUGGAAUCCAGGAUGGGUUUAAAGAGUGUAUCCUAUGAGGCCAUUGAAAGGCAAAAUCUACUUCAUGAAGCUUUUAUGAUACUUUUUUUUGUAGAGAUAUUUAUGGUUCUUUAGAGAGACACCAUUUCAAUUUAGAUUUUGCUUUUCUUAUUUCAUAAUGUGACUGAUUUAUUUCACCAUUUCAACCUCAUUAAAUCCAUUUUCACUAUACAGUGAAUGGUAACAAUAUUAAUUUACAUACAGAAGGUAACAAAAUCUAGAAGCUCUCGUAGCUCAGUUGGUUAGAGCACCCGUUUAGUAAGCGGGAGGUCUUGAGUUCGACUCUCAACGAGAGCAUUUUUUUUGUCUGAGACUUUUCCAACUCAGAGAAGAAUCAGAUCACACAGUCAAAAGUCUCUAUGCAUAAAUCUACAAGAUACAAGAAAAAUCACAAGUUUCUGGAGUUAUAUUUAUUUUAUAUUAAAAAUACAACCCAAGAUCAAGAGUAAAGCGUUUACACUUGCCAAACGGAAGAAUCCUAAACCAAGUGAUUCAGAGAUCUCUAUAAAUUCCCUAUGGGUACCAAAAAAACAAUUGAGAGUUUAAGCAGCAGGAGGCCUGAGUUCUUGGUCACGAGAUGUGUCACGAACCGAUUGAGGCAUAUAAUGCCACAUUGGCAUGUAACCGUAACUCGGGUAAACAGCCAUUUUGUUGUGGCUAAAUGCAGCUGGAAUCUGAGGCAUGAGCCCUGAAGAUGGAACCGUCAUAGACUUUAAUUGUUGUUCCGUUUUCUCUUUAUCCACCUUCAACACCAGCUUUUCCUCCCUCAGCUCGUUCUUCUCUGCCUAUAAAGAAACAUACAAACUUAGAAAUCUGCUCUCCUUCCAUAGACCAAGAUUCUUAGUUUAUGGGAAAGUGAACGAACAACCAACCUUGAGACUCUUGAUCUCCUCUAAAAGCUUCUGGUUCGUUUCUUCAAGUUUAUGAGCUUCAUCUCUAAGUUGAUUCAAUAUACGGAUUGCAUCAUCGAGUAUAGCCGGUUUAUCUGUCUUUGGAGUCCUCCCAGGCUCCAAAACCGAGCUCAAAUCCAUGAACCUAACACCACAAAAACAUUUUUUUCCUCUUGAGACAACUCACUUCACAAAACAAACACAUAGACUAAGCUCUAACCAUACCUCUCAUUUAGCUUCUCCCUCCUCAUUCUUUCACGACACGCUUUGGUUCCUCCACCUCUGCUACACGAUCCAGUCCUUGCCCUAUCAACAACCAUCACAGAUUCAAUCAAAAACACAACCAACUACCACCAAAUCACACAAAGUUUAUAUUUUUCCAACACUUACCGCUUCCGCGAGCAAUCGUCAUCUAAAUGUUCCUGUUCUUGCUUAACAGCUCCACCAGAUGAACCAGAAUUGAUCUCUACUUCAUCUUCCUGCACAAUUCCACAAUCUUUCUGCCCUACGUGUUCAGGCUCUUGCGACAAAACUCCAUUAUACGACGACAAAUCCAAUUGAGCAGCUCCAAUACUAAAGACUUCUUCUGGAUCCUGCUGCAAAUUCACACCAUAUGACGCAAAAUCUGGAAAGGUAUCUUCUUGAUCAGGCUGCAAAUUUACACCAAAUUGUGUGUAAUCAUCAAGUUCUGCUCCAUUACUGCAAGAGUCAUCAUGAACAAAAAGAUCCACAUCCAUCAAUUUGGAGUAAAUUGAUUAACACAACAACAAGAUCCAUAGAGCUACUUCUUCUCCUAUUCAAUUUGAGAGCUUUCAAUUACAUUAGGGUUCGUCAAAUUACAUCAAAAGACUCAAACUUUUUCACCUGAAAUGCGGAAACACAACAACCCUUUUCACAGAAAUCGAAUUGAACAUUAAAGAUAGGAUUUUGCAAUUGGGAAAUGGAUCAAAUUCGAUUAAACAACAGAAUCGAAACAGAUAGAGAGAACAGAGGAAGGAAGAAGGAAGAGAGAGUCGAAAGAAAGAACCUUUGAUCGAAGCAAAACAAAUCAGAGACGAAAUCAUCAUCGUCGAGAGAAGGAUACAUUUGAGAGUCUCCUCCAAACAGAUUUGAGAUUUGUGGAAAGCUUCAACGAAGACGCCAAUGUUGGAAAAAUAUAAACUAUAGAGAUUAUUAAAGCGAUCCCAUUUAAAUUAUUCCCAAUGACGACAAGGAGAUAAGAAUGGUGGGAACAAUAUUCGCCGAUUUGAUAUUAGUGGAAAUAAAAAGAGACGAUUGUUUUUCACUCAAAUUCCUAUUCGGGAAAAGACAAAUCGCCUUAAUAAAACUUUUUUGAAGUAUUGAAAGAUAGACAACCAAAAAAAACAGAAUCAUAUUUUUUUAUGUAAUGCAUAGAUAUUGGGGAAUUUUAUUGCAUUUGUAUUGUUCUUUUUUGGGUAGUAACUUUUCUCUAUCGAGUGGAGUUGGUAAACCAAUCCGAUGCAAAUACGUCUAAAAGAAAAGCAAAUCGUUGAUACUUUUUUUACGAGUAAGAGGAUCAGCUUGAGAACUACACAAUCUAGGAAUCAAAUUUAAUGAGAAAAAAAGAAACAAACUUCGCGAAACGCAAGAAUUCAUAUGGUUUUAUUGAAAUAGUUGUUCGGCCGCCAUGUCAAUUCGGAUUUUGAAUCUGCGAGUUGGACAUAAUCUGCUUCAUUAUAGGGAGGGUUAAGGUUAUACUUUUAGAUGUCUAGAAAAGCAGGGCUAGUGAGUUAGUCUAUUGCGGAUUGCAAUCUCAAAUUAGUUAACUCGCAUAGCCAACGAGUUAACCCACCAACAUAAUAAUAUAUUGUAAUCUAUCAUAAAUUUAUUUUACUAUGUAUAAAAAUCAAAUGUGAAAAAGUUUUCUACUUCUCAAAAUAACUAAACAAGAAAAAGCUGAAAUUUCAAAAACAUGCAAAUCGACAGCAAAAUCUACGGUCAUAAAAUGGAUUGGGUUAGUAGUGUUGCUGAUCUAGCUCUCCAGUCUUGUGCCAACUCGCCAAAAACACAGAAAAUAUUUUAAUCAACUGGUGGGUUUAGUGAAGCAAAAUAAUCCGAUAUGACAUUCCUAUAGACAUGAGUAAGCUGUAAGAUUAAGGAAAAAAAAAAAAUCCUAUACAUUAAAAAAAAGAGAGAGAAGGAAAUCAAAAGUAAAUGAGGGAAUAACAAGAUGAAAGAUUAUUGAAGAUAUGAUGAGAUUCAUAUCUUGAUAGAGCCCGUCUAAUCAAAAUCGUAUAAGCAUGCAUCAACAUCGACAAAAAGAAGAGUCUACCUAUUACCUAGUCAUGUUGUGGUCAGUGGUUACAGUGAACGAAUAAAGAGGGUCCCUAAGUUUUCGUACCUCUUGGAACAAUCUAACGUCGUUUGUCGUUCCCAAACGCAUCUUCAAAUUUGUAUACCCCAACAUAAAAUAAUAAUUCUUGUGAAGUAUCAUCUAUGUUGCUCUUGAAAACGACUCAUGUGGAACGCACGACGAGAGUAAAAAUCAAUUUACUUUUUUUUGUCAACCGUAUUAAGCAACUAUUCGAUUGUUUAGUUAAACCCUAUACCUAAGAAAAACUACACGAUUGUUUUUUUUUUUUUUUUUUGAUUACCGAAAAACUACACGAUUGUUUACUUAAAACUUGAUUGGUUUCUCUGCAUAUGUAUUUGAAAAGCUCAUAGAGAUCAGAGUUUUGUUGUUUAAACUUGAAAAGGCUUGAGGCCCAAGUUAACUAAAUAAGUCGGUUUAGUUAAUAGAGUUUGUGAUAAGGUUUAGCUAGGUUUAGGAGAUAUCUAAUCCUAGUGUGUUUGGGAUUUGUUCUCUAUAUAUAGAGGUGCCAAGAUGUGGCUAAUCCUAUGAGUUUUGAGAGAGAACAAGAGAGAUUUGUGAGGUUUAAGUUUUGAGUAAGUUUCUUAAACAUAAUAAAGAGAGAAGUCUUUGUUAAACAAGUCUUGUGUUCUUAAGUGUUUUGAUCAAUAAGUUUAUUUAAUUCGAGACAAUAUUGUUAUGUUAAUAAAUUCCACAACACAACAUGUUAAGUUGAUGUGAUUUUUUUCUAGAUUUAAGAAGCCAACUCUUUCUUAAUAUUUAUUCUGAUUCGCCUUUGCAAAAUCUUUGCUCGGUUUUUCUCACUGCAACAACAACCACUUAAUUUGUUUCCAAUGAACCUCUUUUUUUGAAACACCUACCAUAUUUUUAGUUCUAUCUUUAAACAAAGCAGUUAAAAAACCUAUUUUAAAAUAAAAUCUUAUCCGAAAAAAACCUAUUUUAACAAAAGUUUUUACAGCUAAGCCCACAUGCAUCUUUUACUUAUUUUUUAAAAUAAUAUUCAUUACAAGCAUAACAAUUAUAUUGGUGUGGAAGCCCCCUUGGCCCAUUGGUUGACCAAGGGUUGAUUAAUGCUUCUACACCAAAAAGUCUGGGGUUCGAGUCCCAGGUAUUGCGAUUUAUUAACAAAUUUGCAGAUUAAUGGAGGCAAGUGUGCAAGAGAUCUCCAGCGAUGUACAAUUAUAGCCGUUCGCCAGGAUUCUACGCAGAGAAGGAAGUGUAGCGAGGUCGUGGAUCAUUGAAGGUAUUCAUCAAGAUUACGAAGAAGGAAGUGUAGUCUGUCGUGAAUCUAGUAAGGGUCGGAAGGAAUUGUCAGUUGUAGAAUCGUCUAUGUAACAGUUCUCAUAAUUUGCAAUUAAUAAUAAAUCUAGACGACAAAAAAAAAAAAAAGCAAUUAUAUUGGUUAGUGGAUAAUACAUGCAAUUUUAAAUAUUCACAGAAGAAACAGACAACGACACUAUCAUUUAAACAUAUCUCGUAGCUUUAUUGCUUCAUGAGAACAAAAAUCUCCUUAAGUCAGUAAACUUUCGAAGCUUUAUACAUACGAACCAUGCCUUGCCAUAGGCAGCAAACUCUUACUCAAACUCUUACGACAAAAUAUAAAUUGUAUCCAAGCCACAAUAGCCUCAGACAAUUUUUUAUACUCUAUAAAAGUCACGAGAAAGUCACCAGCGAAAGUGGGAGUAACGUGUGACCGUUGUAGCAGGACGUGAGGGCCAAGGAUAAAGAUUGCCCAAAAGAAGAAUAAAAAACAUAUAAUGCAAAUGAUGAUUAAAAGCCAUCUCAUAUGCCCAAUUGCAGUGACCACUGUUGUUUAUUCUUUCUAGUGGAGGAAGGAAAAUUAUAUGUAUAUAUUAUAUAUAUAUAAAAGAAGAAAAAAAGAAAGUGUCGGCAAGAGAACAUAACACACAAGAAAAAGAAAAAGAAAAACAAAAAGAGAGAGAAGAGAAAAAGAGAGAGAAAGGGGAUUUCGGCCAGAUUAUUCAAGACAACGUUUGAGGGCUCUAAAGUGUUCUGAUCGGGCUUAUAUUUUGUGGAUAGCUUCGUGACUCAGUGGUCUUCAGAUUCAACGGUGGAGAUUUGGUUUCAACGGUUGGUUUGUGAGAAAUCCGAGUUUUAGCGUAGCUGGUCGCCAUAGUUCUUCAGCUGGUGUGGUCUUGAGUGUUUGAAAGAUCCAACGGUGAGUUCUUCUCGGUUUGAGCUGAAAUUUUGCAGAGGUGUUCCUGACCUGUUUAUCUAGGAUUUGUACGGUGGAGAUUUGAUUUGGUGACCGGAAUCUUAGCGAACCUAGGGUCGUUUGGAACUGCAUAUUUUAGGCUCUUGUUGCUCUCUGUUGUUGAGUUUUUCUUGUGUUGGAGAUUGCUCUUUGGAGCCUUAGUCUCUGUAUCUGUUCUUGUGGAACAGGGAGGACGUGGUUGUAACACUCAUACAUUUGAUAUAGUGGAUUUUGAGUGGACUACGGUCCCGUGGUUUUUCCUUCUCACAUCGAGAAGGUUUUCCACGUAAAAAUUGGUGGUCUCAUUUACUUUAAGUUUUGAAGUUAUUGCUGCCAAGUCCAUUGUAUUUUUCCUCACAAGGUUCACAUUAGUUCGGGUGAAACUUUAGUCCGCUGCGUAAUCGUGUGUCGUUUCCCCAACAGAGUGGUAUCAGAGCUUCUUGGUUUUGAGCUUUGGUUUUGAUAACUUUGGGUUAUUAAUUUGCUUCUGUGAGCGAUGGAAAAUAUGGGCAGGAUGGAAAAUAUGGGCAGAAUGAUAAGCUUGAAUGGUUCUAAUUAUCAUCUAUGGAAAGGCAAGAUGGAAGAUUUGCUUUUUGUGAAAGAAUUUCAUGUUCCAAUCUUUGAGGAGAAGAAACCUGUAGAGAAGACUGAUGAUCAGUGGAAGUUGCAACAUCGCCAAGUGUGUGGUUUGAUAAGGCAAUGGGUAGAUGAUAAUGUGUUGAAUCAUAUUGAAAAUGAGAUUGAUGCUCGUUCUUUGUGGUUGAAGCUAGAGCAAUUGUACGCUCGGAAGACCGGGAAUGAUAAGAUGUACAUGAUCAAGAAGUUGAUUGAGUUGAGGUAUCAGGAGGGAACUCCAAUGACUGAUCACUUAAAUGUAUUUCAGGGGCUGCUCAAUAAACUGUCUGAUAUGGGAAUCAAGUUUGAGGAUGAGAUUCACGGUCUGUGGCUUCUUGGUACACUACCAGAUUCAUGGAAGGUGUUUAGGAUGUCUCUUUGUAACUCUACUUCGAAUGGUGUUAUUUCGAUGGAUAUGGUGAAGAACAGUGUCUUGAAUGAGGAAACUAGAAGGCAGUCAAAUGCUAGUUCCUCAAGAUCAGAUGUGUUAGUCACUGAGUCAAGGGGGAGGAGCUCAUCUAGAGAUCCUAAGAAAGACAAGAACAGGAGCAGGAGCAAAUCUAACAAAUUUGCGAAUUUAGAGUGCCAUUAUUGUCAUAAGAAAGGGCACAUAAAGAAAGACUGCUGGAAGUUGAAGAAAGACAAGCAACAAGGGAAGCAAGAAGAAGUAGAUCGUGUGACAAUCACUGACGAUCAAUUUCUCAUUCUUCUUGAAGAUGAUGCCAUUAAUGUAUGUCAAGACACCAGUUGGGUGGUUGAUAGUGGAGCUACUACUCAUGCUACAUCACAGCGGGAUUUGUUCUCUACCUAUACUUCGGGUAGUUAUGGUUCUGUGAAGAUGGGGAAUGAUGGUUUGGCUCAGGUUGUUGGCAUUGGUGAUAUUUGCUUGGAGACUAGUAUUGGGACUAGACUUAUGCUUAAAGAUGUUAAGCAUGUCCCAGAUCUUCGGAUGAAUUUGAUAUCUACGGGAAGACUUGAUGAUGAAGGUUUCUACAGUUUACACGGCGGUGGUAAAUGGAAGCUUUCACGUGGUUCUUUGGUUGUGGCUCGAGGGGAGAAGCUUUCAUCUUUCUAUUUGAUGCAGGCUAAGGUCUCCAAAGACAGUGUUAAUGCUUUGGAGAAUGAUCAUGCCAUGGAAUUGUGGCAUAAGAGACUCGGUCACAUGAGUGAGAAGGGAAUGUCUGUGUUGUCUAAGAAGGAAGCUAUUCCAGGUAUCUCCGGUUUGCACUUGGAGAAAUGUGCGCAUUGUUUGCGGGGAAAACAACACAGGGUCUCUUUCAAGUCUUCUGCACCUUCUAGAAAACCUGAGGUACUUGAUCUGGUUCAUUCAGAUGUGUGUGGUCCAAUGAAAACAAAAUCUCUUGGUGGUGCAUCAUAUUUUGUCACUUUCAUUGAUGAUCAUUCAAGGAAGUUGUGGGUUUUUACUAUGAGGACGAAAGAUCAGGUUCUAGGAUACUUCAAGCAGUUUGUGGCAUUGGUUGAGAGACAGACGGGAAAGAAGUUGAAGUGUAUCCGCAGUGAUAAUGGUGGUGAGUAUUCUGGACCAUUUGAUGUUUAUUGCAAGGAACAUGGUAUUAGACAUCAGUUCACGCCGCCUAAGACUCCACAGUUGAAUGGGUUGGCUGAGAGGAUGAACAGAACUAUUGUCGAGAGAAUGAGAUGUUUGAUUUCACAAUCAGGCUUGGCGAUGACUUUCUGGGGUGAGGCUUUAAGCACGGUUGUUCAUGUGCUGAAUCUAUCACCGAGUGCUCCAUUGGAGGGUGAUAGUCCAGAGAGGGUGUGGACCGGUAAGAACGUUUCUUAUGGUCAUUUGAGGGUCUUUGGGUGUAAGGCAUUUGUUCAUAUUCCCAAGGAUGAAAGGUCGAAGCUUGAGAUGAAGUCGCGACAAUGUGUGUUCAUUGGUUAUGGUCAGGAUGAGUUUGGAUACAGAUUUUAUGAUCCCGUUGAGAAGAAGCUCAUUAGGAGCAGAGAUGUUGUGUUCAUGGAAGAUCAAACGAUUAAGGACAUUGACAAGUCCGGAAAUCCAACUCAGAGUUAUGAGAAUUUGAUUGAUUCAGUGGUUGCUCCUUCUACAUCGGUUCACGGUCAGGUCGAGGAUGAGGUUCAAUAUGAUACACCUGGUGCAGAUGCUCCCGCACAUGAUGAUGGUAUUGGUGAUCAUGAUGACGAUCAUGGUGAGACACCAACUACCGAGAACCCUCCUAUUGUUAGAAGAUCUGAGAGAGGUUUAAAACCGUCGACAAGGUAUGAUCCUAGUGAGUAUGUGCUACUUACUGAUGGGGGAGAACCUGAAAGCUUUGAUGAAGCUUUAGAGGAUGAACACAAGGAUGAAUGGCAUGAUGCCAUGGGUGACGAGAUGGAUUCUUUUGCAGAGAACCAUACUUUUGAGUUGGUGAAAUUGCCUAAGGGCAAGAAGGCAUUGCUUAAUAAGUGGAUGUACAAGAUUAAGCAUGAUGAGACCAGUUUGUCACCUCGAUACAAGGCUAGAUUGGUUGUAAAAGGGUACGGCCAAAAGAAGGGGAUUGAUUAUGAUGAAAUCUUUUCUCCUGUUGUGAAGAUGUCAUCCAUUCGGGUUGUACUUGGAUUGGCAGCGAGCCUUGAUCUAGAGGUUGAGCAAAUGGAUGUAAAGACUGCUUUUCUUCAUGGAGAUUUGGAGGAAGAGAUUUACAUGGUACAACCGGAAGGCUUUGUGAAAAAGGGCAAACAGGAUUUAGUUUGUCGCUUGAAGAAAAGUCUUUAUGGUUUGAAACAGGCACCAAGGCAGUGGUAUAAGAAGUUUGAGUCAGUUAUGGGGGAGCAUGGUUAUAAGAAGACUACUUCUGAUCAUUGUGUGUUUGUGCAAAUGUUUGGUGAAGAUGAUUUUAUCGUCUUGCUAUUGUAUGUUGAUGACAUGUUGAUUGUUGGCAAGAACUUGAGCAGAAUUCAAGAGUUGAAGAACCAGCUUGGAAAGUCCUUUGCCAUGAAAGAUUUGGGUCCAGCGAAACAGAUUCUUGGUAUGAGAAUUGUUCGAGAUAGAGGUGAGAAGUUGAUUUACUUAUCUCAGGAGAGGUACAUUGAAAAGGUACUUCAAAGGUUUCACAUGGACAAGUCUAAAGUUGUUAGCACUCCUCUUGCUACACACUUUAGAUUGAACAGUCAACAGAGUCCGAAAACAAAGUUGGAGAAAGAAGAUAUGGCACGGGUUCCAUAUGCUUCUGUAGUUGGUAGCUUGAUGUAUGCUAUGGUCUGUACAAGACCUGAUAUAGCUCACGUUGUUGGUACAGUUAGUCGUUUUCUCUCCAAUCCUGGAAGAGAACACUGGAAUGCUGUGAAGUGGAUUUUGAGAUAUCUUCGAGGGACUUCCGAUCUGAAGCUUACUUUUGGAGGUGAUAAGUCACUACUUGUCAGUUAUACUGAUUCUGAUUUGUCUGGGGAUCCUGAUUCCAGUAAGUCUACUUCGGGUUACUUGGUAACAUUUGCUGGGGGAGCUGUGGCAUGGCAAUCAAGGUUACAGAAGUGUGUUGCAUUUUCUACCACUGAAGCUGAGUUUAUAGCCGCAACAGAAGCUUGUAAGGAGUUGUUGUGGAUGAAAAAUUAUCUUGAGGAUCUCGGUUUCAAGCAAGAUAAUUAUGUAUUGCUUUGUGAUAACGAAGGCGCAAUUCAUCUUGGAAAGAACUCUACAUUUCAUUCGCGUUCGAAACACAUUAAUAGAAGGUAUCAUUGGAUACGUGAUGUGGUUGCUUCUAAGGAAGUGGAACUUGCAAAAGUUCAUACGGAUGAUAAUGGAGCUGAUAUGAUGACAAAGUCAUUACCGAGGGGGAAGCUUGAAGUAUGCCGAGAGAUAGCCGGAAUGGCUGUUUCCUCCACCUAGUCGGAGGGGGAGUUUGUUGUUUAUUCCUUCUAGUGGAGGAAGGAAAAUUAUAUGUAUAUAUUAUAUAUAUAUAAAAGAAGAAAAAAAGAAAGUGUCGGCAAGAGAACAUAACACACAAGAAAAAGAAAAAGAAAAACAAAAAGAGAGAGAAGAGAAAAAGAGAGAGAAAGGGGAUUUCGGCCAGAUUAUUCAAGACAACGUUUGAGGGCUCUAAAGUGUUCUGAUCGGGCUUAUAUUUUGUGGAUAGCUUCGUGACUCAGUGGUCUUCAGAUUCAACGGUGGAGAUUUGGUUUCAACGGUUGGUUUGUGAGAAAUCCGAGUUUUAGCGUAGCUGGUCGCCAUAGUUCGUCAGCUGGUGUGGUCUUGAGUGUUUGAAAGAUCCAACGGUGAGUUCUUCUCGGUUUGAGCUGAAAUUUUUCAGAGGUGUUCCUGACCUGUUUAUCUAGGAUUUGUACGGUGGAGAUUUGAUUUGGUGACCGGAAUCUUAGCGAACCUAGGGUCGUUUGGAACUGCAUAUUUUAGGCUCUUGUUGCUCUCUGUUGUUGAGUUUUUCUUGUGUUGGAGAUUGCUCUUUGGAGCCUUAGUCUCUGUAUCUGUUCUUGUGGAACAGGGAGGACGUGGUUGUAACACUCAUACAUUUGAUAUAGUGGAUUUUGAGUGGACUACGGUCCCGUGGUUUUUCCUUCUCACAUCGAGAAGGUUUUCCACGUAAAAAUUGGUGGUCUCAUUUACUUUAAGUUUUGAAGUUAUUGCUGCCAAGUCCAUUGUAUUUUUCCUCACAAGGUUCACAUUAGUUCGGGUGAAACUUUAGUCCGCUGCGUAAUCGUGUGUCGUUUCCCCAACAACCACACCAAAAAGGAAUGCCAAGGGCAUGCAGAGUAGAGCAAUAAGCAGUAAGGCAAUGCCACAUGUAAGGAUGAACGGAUUAGUUUUGGAUCACCCGACUGCGCCCAAAUAAGAAUACCUAUUGUUGCAAAGGAACAUUGCAUUGCCAAAAUGUCAAGUAGCAGAAAAAUGAAGAGAGUUGGGUAAGUGGCCAAAGUUGCCCUGCCCUAAGUGUGGAGCAGAGCUCUUAACCCCACCUGGUAUUGUAAAACCUGCAGCAAACGUCAUUGUGGCUACAAGAGUCGCAACCAGGAGAAGAGUGUUGAUGUAAUCUCUGUUAUUCUUAGGGUCCAGUGGCGGCACUGCCGGUCUCGUUAAUGAACUAAGAGAUUCGAAACCCGUUUUGUCAAUAGCGUAUAAUAAGAGCGCCAAUGUCCACCUCUGAAAUCAUUUGUGGUAUCAAAUGUGUUGUAUGAAACGGAAUUAGACAUACCUCUUGAAAGAUGUAGUUGGGUUUCAAGACGGCAAGGUGCAAAGGUGUAUUCCCGUCCACAUCUUGCCCAACACCCAGAUGUUUCGUAUCUUUUUCACUCAUCAACGAAUUUGCAGUAGAAGAUUCCCCAUUUUUUGCUGCCACGUGGAGAACAUUCUGACCAAGUUUGUUGAGCAGGUAUAUUGAAUCUGAACAGCUUUUUAUAAACUUUUUAACAAUUUUUUCAUGACCUUUCUCUGCAGCCGUAUGAAUUGGAAAGGAACCAUCUUGGUCGCAGACAUAAACUCCCUUUUUUGAUCGAUUUAAAAGGUUGCAUACUCCUUCACAAUACCCUAUAUAUGCUCCUAGUGAAAGACAAGUCCUACCAUCUUUAUCUCGCACGUCCAUAAGACUUGGAUAUUCGUCAAGAAUAACAUCAAGGACACCUACUCAAACAAUUGGUAACAACAAUUAGUAUACAUAGGAAGAUUUUUACCGUCUUGGGGAGGAUUUUUUUUGUUGUCUCAAAUUGGAAUUUGAACAGACUACUGUUUAAAGCGAAAAACAAACCUAUACUCUUGGCAUGCAAAGCAACAUGUGCAAGAUAUUUGUUCCCUUGCAAUUUCGAAUCUAAGUUAUACCUCCUCACUUCAACGUCCUUGUUGCCUAUGGUUUUCAAAAUUGCUUUCACAAUGGAUACUGCUUCAUACAAGGAAGAUAUUCCCUCGUUAUUUGCAAGAAAAGGAGCAUCCUGGUUGGCGUUCACCAGACAGGUAGCCAUCUCCUUAUAGCGUCCUUCAAUGGCGUAGUACAAAGCAGUAUUUCCAUCUUUGUCCUUGAGAACAUACGGAUUCAGUCUCAGUCUCUGACUUUCUUCAGUACACAGUCUAGCUGAAGCAAAUGUUAUCGUCUCAACAACACAUGUAUGACCGCCAUGAGCCGCCAAAUGAAGUGGUGUCUGAUCGCUCGAGUUUUGCUCCAAUAGAAGGCACGGAUAUGUAGGGAUAAUCGCCUUCACUAGUUUUAGAUGACCCCAUGUAGCAGCAAGAUGAAGAAUUGAAUCUCCUGUAUUGCUCUUGAGACGUGCCAUUGGCGUUCCUUGGCUUCUAAACUUCUCCAGACAUUCUUUCUUCCCUUCACACAUUCCACUGAAAAUCUUCGGAGACAUCUGGACAUCUUCACCAGGGAGAGCGAAAAAAUCCGACACUCUAAGGUUAGUAAGGUACUCUGGCACAGAUUCGGUGUCUCCCGUAGGUGGACUGGCUCAUUUCGUUUUUCUUCAAAAUAGCCUGAAAUCUUUUCUCCCGCGAUGUCUAAGUCCUAGUUAUUUUUAACAAGAAUAAAGUACUAGAAUAGUUUUUUUUUGUUCUUUAUGUAGAUUGGUUUGGUAGGGGUCAAUAAUUAUUUCAUAAUGGAGUCACUAGCUAUACUUGUUAAUAAAGCACAUAUAAUGAAUAUUUAGUAUUUAUGGAGUCCCCUAUGAGUCACUCGUACCUCCGGCACUUAUUUAUGUUCCGUUCCGUUGACCGUGAGACACAUCCGUUGGCCUUUGUGCCUCAAUUCUAUCUAGAUCUGUUCCAGAACCAUCCAUCUCAAACCUAAAAUCAUCACAAAAAUUGUUUGAAAACACAGAUUUAAGUUACUGAAAUAUAACGUAAUGUCUUGCUUUAUUCAAUACUCAAUAGAGUAGAAGAGUAUUUAUACACAUACAGAUUGCCUAGUCUUGAUAGAAUCGUAUCUAAGUAACUAUAUUGAUAUAUAUCCUAAUCUAUGUAUACAUUUUUGGAUCAUAAUUAGCAAAUAAAUCCUGAAGUUGAGAAGUAUUUACAAUGACAUGCCACUAGCAUUAAUUAUUUAGAUUUAUUUUAUUUAAGUAAAGAUUUUUAAUUGAAAUUCAUUUCUCAUAUAUUUAGCAAAAGUCUCUGUGGAUGUCGGAUUCACACACUCAAGUAUUUUGUUAAGUGGGAAAGAUUAUUUUUGAGGGACAAAAAUGAAUAUGUAAAAACUUAUAAAUUGAUACGAAAAUUGCUAUAGUAUUUCUCUCUUGAGAGGAAGAUCCCCCUUACAUGACCAUUGGCCUCUAUAUUUAUACAUAGAUAAACGAUAUUAAAAUGAGUAAUUAAGUACAAUUAUUCCUUCUUAAAUGUGUCCGUUUUGAUUCUUCGACUUUAAUGCUCAACGUUUGAAUUUGAGUUGACUCUGAUCUUCAUGGGCCUCGCCUCUUUUGGCCCAAGUGUCCUUGAACCGACUUACCCGUGUCUUCUACACCGAACUCGUGUCACAGUGCAGUCACUUCGGAUUCUCGAAAUGGUGACAACCACUUCGACCGUCCCUUCGGCUCACGGGUCCAAUGGGCUUCAUCUUUUAUGGGCCAUUAUCUUGAUUACGUGGCAAUCUUUGGUUGGUCUCGUACUUCUGGUGCGGGAUCCGACACCAACAAUUAGCCCCCCAAGUUCUUCGAAGUGUUAUUCCAAUUCGGAGGACUUUAAAUGCUCAAGUGGCCAAAGAUUGCGCUCGAGAAUCUUUCUGAUUUCCCGCCGAAAAUCUCAUCACUCCUUUAAUUUCGGCACUAGCCAUUUUUAACCGAGUGACAUCUGUCAUCAUUAUGACCGUAUAUUGAUUAAUUACUAUUAAAACGGGAAAAACCUUCCCACUUCCCACACGACUUCCGAGGCGGUUUCAUCAUUAGCUUGAGGUAACUUCUUUUCACCAUUACUCUCUUCUUUUUACUUUUGUACUUUAAUCAAAAACUCUCUCUUUUCUUCUUCACGAAAAACCUCUUUUCGCCGGAUCUUGAAAUUUUCAUUUUUAUUCGAUGACUUCUGAUUCUGAAAAACCUGAAUCUCCGUCUUACGACGAAAGGCGUUCUAGUAAUGACGAAUGCACUCGUCCUAACGACAUCGCCGGUCCUCAUUACAAAUCCACCUGUACUCUUCAAUCCCUUGAGCGAUUGAAGGGGCUUUGUCAAAUUCCUCCUGGAAUUAUAGCGGAGGCGCAAAUAGCCGACCCUACGGAAUCUCCUGAGAACCACCGUGCCGGCUACUUUUGUGUUUACGAAAUUUACUUCAAGGGCUGCGGAUUGACCUUCCCCCUUCCCGAAGCCCUAGUUCGAUUCUUGGCGGCUCUCGAGAUCGCUUUGCCUCAAUUAACCCCCAAUCUCCUCCGAACCAUCCUCGGGAUUAUAACUGUUGCGGCGGAGGCUGGCUACGUCAUUGGAGUCCCCGAGCUGAAUGAACUCCUAAGCGUAAGGAGUUCAUCAAAGAAAACUGGGUACUUCUCGGCGUAUCCAAAUGCCAAUAGAAACGUCAUCUCGCACCUCCCGAACAAGGAUGAGUACUGGCACCAUCCUUGGUUUCUGAUUAAGAAAAAUCCUACUUCGAUUGGGAAUCUUUCCGAUGUACUCCCAUCGAAGUGGUCUGCGAAACCUGGUAGAGACUAGGUCGUAUAUUCCUUUAUUGUUUAUUAUUAUCUUUUACUGACCGAAUUUGUUGUUUCAUUUCGCAGCUUUUAUCGCUUCAACUCUCCCGACUGAAGAAUUUGUCAAGUUCUUCAAAACAAUCCUUGAAGGAGAAACCCUUUGGAAUUCUUUUUCCCUCGACCGAUUUGUCGAGGCCAACCGGAAACUCAGGAUGAGUCCUCCCAAUCUACUUCAUCGUCUUCCGCCUCCUCCCUCAACUCAGGGAAUGUCAGCUCGGGCCCUCGCUGCCCAGCGUAAGAAGCUCUCCAAGCCGAUAGCAGAGGCUUGUGAUGAAAACAAGGCGUUCCUUGCGACCGCCAUCGACAAAAAAGAUUACAGCAGGACCCUGCUGGUUGAUGACAACAGCUCCGAGGGAGCCAGAUCCGUUGCUGCUUAUAGGUUAACACCUCGCCGCAAACGCCGCGACGAGCGUUCUCCUCGGAGAGAGCGGUCUCCUCGUCGUGAUUCUCCUCGUCCUCCCCGAGACGAUUUCAGCAACGAAACUCUUAAGAAUUUGGUUCGUAAGAAGAGGGACAAGUCGUCCCGUGAUGACUCGUCUCCGCGAAGGGAGAAAUCAAGGGCCCGGACUGACCGUUCACCUCGAUCAUCCCCUUCUGCUGAACCAAUGGGUCCUCCCCGACCUGUUGACAUGUCUUCUUCUUCCCAGCCCGUCAGCGAAAAGACUGCUCGGAGUGCAUCCCCUAAAAGUGGAGAUUCUGAAUCUCGAGAUGCUCCCUCGAGGCUAAAGCCUGCUCUUGUCCCUCAAGUCAAAUCGCUUUCAGGUUUGGUGAUUUACACAUAUUUAAACUUUUUGUCUUUAUUAAAAUUCCAAUUUUUACAACUCUUCCUUCUUCGCAGCUAUGGAGAAAGAGGGCAGCGUCUUCCGAUGCUUCAAGACCCGAUUGGAUUCGAUCCUGCCAGACUUCGACAAAUGGCGCCCUGCGAUUCGUGAACGCUAUUUGCUUCACGCGCAUCACUCAUCUCGGGUUAGUUCCGUUUCUUCUUUUUUUUUUUUAUUGCAUUGCCAUUCCGCGAACUAACUCGCCAUCCCGGGUUCAUGUAUAAUGCCAGGCUCAUAGCGAACUUAACGACAUGAUCGAACAUUACGAAGGGUUGGUCAUUGGACGGGAGAAGGAGGUUGACAUGUGGAAAAAGAAACUCUCUGCCCUUGAGGCUGAACUCAGUUCUUCUGUCGGCUCCAAGCACGAUCUGGAGGACAAGGUCGACAGUUUAACAUCAGAGCUUGCGCAGAUAAAGGGGGAGCUGCAGGGUCAGUACGACCAGAACUUCAAGCUCCAGGAAGAGUUUUCUGGUGUUCAGGGUAGGCUUCAAGAAUCCGAAUCAACCGCCGAUACCCUGAACAAUCAAAUCAUCGAGCUUGACGCGAAGUACAAGCGCUAGCCAAGUUGCGUGAUUCUGAGUUGGCAAGGUCGGCAUCGAAGGCCAGAAAGGAGGUUAAGAGACGCGGGAUGGAGUUGAUCCAAGGGGCCAUUCGCUUCAUGCAAACUGAGAAGGCUAGGUCGGACUUGGAGUCAGACAUCAAAGAGCAUGAAAGCAACCUGAUUCUGCUGGAUCAAACCCAUGAAGCAGAUUUCUCUGAGGAGCAAGAGAGGACUGAGCUGUCAGCUAGUCUUUCUGAGAAACGGAGUCGCUUGGCAGCUCUUCCCACUUCGACCUUCAACCCGCUUGACUUCGAGGAAUUCUUUACUGAAUCACCUCCUAUAAGUGAAUCGGGUUUAGACUGGGCAGGUAACACUUGGCUCCUGAGGCUUACCUUUUCUUACCUUGUACCUUUGAUUGACUGGAAUUAUUAUUUCCAGGUUCAAGUGAGACGGAAGGCAUUGUCCCGCCCGUAGCUCCUAUGGUACCGGAGGUCACUUCGGAGGUUGGUCGUACCGCGGAGGGUGGUCAGGGAGCUUCAUCUGAUCAAGCACCAGUCAAGGAGGUGAAUGAAACUCUGGUUGCUGAGCCGGAAUCUGAGGUGGAGAUCACUCCGUAGUGGCUGUGUCCACUUUAAAUUGGGGAUUGUCCCUUUUAUUUUAAGACUUAAUUUCGAACUUAUUUUUGGCCUAAGGAGGCUUUAUUGUUUCUUUUGAACAAGAUAUUUGCCUGAGAAGGCUUUUAAACCUUUCUAGGUUGUGACCCAAGGGGGUUUGGUUAAAAUUAUAUGCGGGUUUGCAAAGUCCGCUUUUAACCUUUUGUGGCCAUGUGGUUAUGCUUUUGAGAUUUUUAGGCUGAUCAGACCUUUCUCUUUAGAAUGCGAGAACUGAGCUCGGCUUAAAGCGAGUUCCCCACUUCGGGUUUAGUCAACUCGAUAAACUUACUAGGCUUGGGCCUUAGAAACUUUUGUAGUUAAUGCGACGGUUGCGCUUUCCCUUCUUAUAAGUAAGGAAAACGGCUCGUCUUUAAUGCAAAAAAUGCUUUUUCUCGAUUUCCAAAAAUGGUUUAAACCACUCGGACACACUACCAUUAUUGGGUUUAUGGUUCCAAGACAAACCCUAAAUCAUUAUAAAUAAAGGCUUACCUACUUCUAAGCUUUAUUUACACAUGACUUUAGAAUCUUACUUGAGGAAUAUUUCGAGAAUGGAAAACGAAGGAGUAGCUCCCAUCGCCCCCGGCAGCCCACUUUUCUUGUCCGGCGACGGAUUUGAACCGGCCGGCGUGCUCUUUCCCCACGCCGUCUUUCACUUCCCUUCAAAGGAGAAGAAAGAGGCUUGCGACUUCAUUGACAAGGUAAAUAUUUAAAGUUUUUGACUGAAAACUUUUUGCUUCAUCUUAUUCACUCAUCUUUAUGCUAGGUCGCCGACAAGCACCGUCGCUUGUGUGAAGAGAGGCAGCGGCUGGGCCUCAAAAGGCAAACACUCGAGGCUCGCAUCGCUCGGGUGGAGAGGAAGAUACGGGCCUUGGAAAGUGAUCCCUUCCAAUGGGAAUGGCGGAACUUCGACUCCAUCGCUGAGAUCCCGAAGAUGCUUCGGAUGUAUCUCCGUGCUAAAGGAGUCUCAGGUCCCGUGAACGUCCCUGUCUGCGCCGUUCCAUCUGACAGUGAAGAGGAAGACGAUUUGGAGGAGGAGGCCAGCAACUGUCGGAAACGUGUUCGGGAUCGUUCCGAAGUGGAUGCCAAGAACAAGGCGUCCACUUCGAAGACUAAACCGGCGAUGAAGGAGCCUGUUCCUGAGCCUCUCCCAUAAAUGUUCUUUAACUUCUCCACUUAUUUUAAACUCGUAAUGGGCUUCGGCCCUUUUUUAUUUAUGGAAAUAUUUGCAACUUUCCUUUAUUUUCAAAUAUUCUCAGAGAUGCGCCUUUUAAUGCAGGAUCUGUUCGAAGGCAUAAAUCUCUCCGCGAAUCACUCCAUUCUUUGGAUAGAAUCCGCAGCUUGCUAAGGAUAUGGGGUUCCUACAAAUUAUAGUUUCAAUUUCCCUUUACUCCUCACCAUUCUUUUUAGCAGGUAUGGAGUUCAAUCUUCGCUGUUCAGAAUCUAUGCCUGACUUCUCCAGAAUCGGAAUGAUGAGCGAAGAUGUUCCAAAUGAGCCAAACAGGCAGCCUCCUCCACUUCGCGGCUUCUUGAGAUCUCAGAUCCGAGCCCCAUGUGCUUUGAUCAGGGAUCUCUCAAUCAGAAACCAAGGAACAGCGACGGCGUUCAUAGAGACACUCGAGCUUCAACACCGGAAGCUUAUGUCGGAAAAGAGGAGACUUCGGAAAAGGAUUAACCGGAUGCAACGCAGGCUUACAACGGUGUCAAGAGAUCUUCACAUCCUUGAAUCUCACCCCGGAGAGUGGAUUGAGCUUGGAAUUUCAGACUUUGCUCGAAUUCCAGACUGUAUGAUGCCAAUCCUCGAUCUUGCUGGUCAAGGAGUUGAAGUGUGCUGCUCGUCAACAAGAUUUCCAUAGUCCGAAGUGUACGAUGAGGGACAUUCCGUCUUCUAAAUAACGCUUUAUUUCCAAUUCCUUGUAUGUUCGCUUAGCCGAACCUUCUAUUUGCUUCACUUGUUCGCACAGUCGAACAUUUCUCCUUUAAUAAAGAAAUAAAACAAAUUUUUAUUAAUAGCUGAACUCGUUUUCGAGCUGCCUACGUACCCAUCUCGGGAUCAAGCCACACCGUAGUUCAUGUACAUAAACAAUGCAUGUAGCUUUAAACAUAAAAUUUCUUUAGGUUGAUCACAUUCCAAGGUCGCUUGACUGGAUUGUCUUCUAAGUCUUUCAACCUAUAAACACCGUUCCGAACCACUUCGGUAAUAAUGUAAGGUCCUUCCCAAUUAAUACCGAGUUUACCGGCACCUUCUUCUUUUCUGUUGUCAAAGACGCGCCUUAAUACAUAAUCUCCCACGAAGAAAGGCCUACUUUUAACCUUAGAAUUGUAAUACCGGGCUGCUGCCUGCUGGUAAUUCUGGAUCCGAAUUAGAGCUUGAUCGCGCCUUUCAUUUAUGGUAUCCAGUGAAUCAUUAAGCAUUGCUGAAUUUUCUUCCUCAUUUAACGGUGCUUCUGUUCGACGAAGUCCGGGCACAUUGAGUUCAGCUGGUACUACCGCCUCCAUGCCAUAAACCAAAGAGAAUGGAGUUUCUCCUGUAGGUCGCCUAGGGGUUGUACGAUAGGCCCACAGGACGGGUUGGAGUUCUUCAUACCAUCCUCCCUUUAGAUGAUUUAAGCGUUUCUUGAGAUUGCUUAAUAUUGUUUUGUUCGCAGCUUCAGCUUGUCCGCUCCCUUGCGGAUAUCGUGGAGUAGAAUAACUAACUUUGAUUCCCCAGUCCGCACAAAAGGCAUCAAACUCGUGUGAAAUGAAUUGUGGCCCAUUAUCAGUGACUAUUUCGUAUGGAACUCCAUGUCGACAUACAAUGUUUUUCCAAAUAAAGGUCUUCACCGUCGAAUCCUUGAUACCGACAUACGCCUCAGCUUCAAUCCAUUUUGAAAAGUAGUCCGUAAGGACUAAAAGGUACUGUACACCUCGAGUUGACUUGUGCAAUGGCCCAAUGAUGUCCAUUGACCACCUCAUAAACGGAUAUGGGGCGGAAAUGGAGGAGAAUAAUUCCGACGGUUGAUGGAUCAAUGGUGCAUGGAGUUGGCAGCGCUUGCAUCUUUGGGCGAAUUUAACACAAUCUGUGAUCAUAGUGGGCCAAAAAUACCCCAUUCUUUUAACUUUAAAAGCCAUAGCUCUUCCUGAUGAAUGACUCCCACAUAAUCCUUCAUGCACUUCGCUCAUGACGAUUUCGACUUCGGGCCCAAAAAUGCAUAAUAGGUAAGGGUCACUGACACCUCGUCUAUAUAACGCAUCCUUCGACAUACAAAAUUUCGCGCUAACGACUUUCAUUUUCCUGGCCUGCCAUUUAUUCUUUGGGAGCUCACCCGUCAUGAUGUAGUGCUUUAUUGGCUCCCUCCAGUCAGCCCCCCAGUCUUUAGCCGGAAUUUGGCCAACUUUGUGAAAUAUUCGUGGCUCUGGUUCGGGAUGCUCGUUUGGUUCAAGAAUAUCCUCCUCGAUUAAUGGCUCGGUUUCUAACAUUUUUUCUGGAACCACUUUUUCAGCUAAGACAACGGGUUCCUUGUUAGAUGCAUUUGAUCCCCUUGACUUCCUGCGUUUGUUGGGUGGCGGCUCGAUCUCUGGUUCGCCACGGUCGCGUGCCGCUGCUCGAGACCUUGUAACGACGAGGGUUUCCUUGCUGUCUUGAAUACUUCGCUCCGAGAUGCAUUCUACUGGAAUAACUCUCUUUAACUCAGGAUCUGACGUUGACGCCAAUGCGGCAAGUGCAUCCGCAGUUGUAUUCUCUCCCCGAGGUAUGCGGAUUAUUUCAAAUUUCGAGAAAUUUUUAGAUAGAUCCUUCACCACUUUGAGGUACGCUUCCAUUCUUGAAUCUUUGGCCUCAUAGUCUCCAUUAAAUUGGUUAACUACUAAUUGCGAAUCGCAAUAAGCCAUAAUUUCCUUAGCUCCAACUCCUUGUGCUAGUCGAAGUCUGGCAAUAAGGGCUUCGUAUUCUGCCUCGUUGUUGGAGGCAUUGAAUAACAAUCGGAAUGAUUGUUCUAGAAUUUCUGAUGUUGGAGAUUCCAACUUGAUUCCCACUCCGGAUCCUUGUUUUGUUGAAGACCCGUCCACGUGUAAUUUCCAAGUUUGGUUCUCCGAUUGCUCUGUCGUUCCAGGUAUUGGUAGUUCGGUUAGGAAGUCUGCUAAGACCUGAGCCUUCAUACUGAUCCGGCUUUUGAACUCUAUGUCGUACUCGCUUAAUUCCACCGCCCAUUUCGCCAAACGUCCGGACUGACUUGGACUAUGAAGUAUUGUUCUGAGUGGUUGGUUAGUUAAUACUUCGACCGGAUGGGACUGAAAAUACAGACGCAGCUUCCGAGCUGAAGUUACCACCGCGAGUGCAAGCUUUUCCAUCAUUGUGUAUCUGGUUUCUGGAUCCGUCAUUGACUUGCUCACGUAGUAAAUUGGCUUCUGUUCCCCACGGUCUUCCCGAACCAAGACUCCACUAACCGCGUGGUCUGAAACUGAUACGUACAAGUAAAGUUUUUCAUCCACUUCUGGUUUGGACAGUAUAGGUGGAGUGGUUAAGUAUGCCUUAAGCUGCCCAAAAGCUUCUUCACACUUCUCAUCCCAAAGGAAUCCUUUGUUCCCUUUUAGAAUUUGGUAGAAGGGUAACGAUUUAUCUGUUGAUCUUGAGACAAAACGAUUCAAAGCCGCAAUCCGCCCCGUCAACCGUUGUACUUCUUUGAAGUUUCUUGGAGACGGCAUAUUUAGAAAGGCGUUAAUUUGGUUUGGAUUGGCUUCAAUCCCUCUUUCUGUCACGAUAUAGCCAAGAAAUUCUCCGGAUGGGACUCCAAAUGUGUACUUCGCCGGGUUCAGCUUCAUUUGAUAUUUAUUGAGAAUAUCAAAACAUUCCUCUAAAUGCUUAACGUGAUCCUCUUUCUUUAAUGACUUAACCAACAUAUCAUCUAUGUAAACUUCCAUUGUUUUUCUGAGGUGAUUGUGAAACAUUUUGUUCACCAACCGUUGGUAAGUUGCUCCUGCAUUUUUCAAACCAAAAGGCAUUACCUUGUAACAGUAGAUACCUCUAUCUGUGAUAAAUGACGUCUUUUCUUGAUCAUCGGGGUUCAUCAUUAUCUGAUUAUAACCCGAGAAGGCGUCCAUGAACGUUAACAGCUCAUUUCCAGCGGUGGACUCUACAAGUCGAUCUAUAUGCGGGGCGGGAAACUAUCUUUGGGACAUGCUUUAUUCAGGUCUGUAAAAUCGAUGCAAACCCUAUCUUUCCCGUUCUUUUUCUUGACAACGACAGUGUUUGCUACCCACUCCGGAUAUUGCACUUCUCUUAUGGACCCUAUCUUCAAAAGUUUAUCCACUUCGUCGUUUAUUAUUUUUGCCCGCUCCACUCCAAGCUUUCUUCUUUUUUGUUUCACCGGUUUGAAGCUUGGAUCCACGUUUAGUUCAUGACAAAUUAUACUCGGAUUUAUGCCAGGCAUGUCCGCUGCUGACCAUGCAAAUGAUGCUUUAUUUUUCCUUAAGAGUUCGAUCAAAGCUUCUUUUAUUUGGCCAGUCAACGUUGCUCCAAUUCGAAUUUUCCGAUCUGGUUUGUCUUCUUCCAAUACCGCUUCUACUACCACAUCCUCUUUUUCCUGCCCACUAGGAAAUUUUUGCCUUAGUCCUUCUUUUGCGGGCUUUGUUAAUUGCUAUUGGAUCUUCAAACGGUAGCUAGCUAAGUAACACGUCCGUGAAGCUUCUUGAUCUCCCUGAAUUGUUUCCACCCCAUUUGAUGUUGGAAAUUUGAUACAUUGAUGGUAUGUAGAGGGGACUGCUUUCAUCCGAUAAAUCCAGGGAGUCCCGAGGAUGAUGUUGUAAGCUGCGGGCUUAUCGAAGACAACGAAGUCCACGAUCUUCGAUACCUUCUUGGCAAGGACCGGUAACUUGAUUGUUCCGAGAAACAUGGCUGACUCGCUUGUGAACGCAACUAACGGAGAUGGGGGUCCUACUAUGUCUCCUCGGCUGAUUCCCAUUUUUUCUAGAGUACUUAAAAAGAUCAAAUCGACCGAACUGCCUGUAUCUAUAAGGAUCCUCGAUACUUCGAAGUUAGCGACAUCAAGAGUAAUGACUAGAGCAUCAUCAUGCGGUCUUUCGAGAUGCCGCGUUUCUUCUUCGUUAAAUGAUAUUAAGGCACCUUGAAAAUCGAUUUCUUCACUCAAGCUUGCUUUGAGUAAGACAUUUCGCCUAUGCUUUUUGAUGGAACUUAUUGAAUCUCCGCAAAAUCUGGAACCUCCUAGAAUCACAUUGAUCUUACCCUUCGAACUCCUUGGUUCUUCCUCGUUGGAUAACCUUGGUCUUUUGGAAUCUUGAUCUUUGGAGUUUUCCUUUGCUUCGUGGUAUUCCUUCACAAAAUCUUUUAUAUCGAAUUUAGAAAGAUCGCCACUAGCCCAAAGCUCUGCGAGGUGCUUUUUAAGAACGCUGCAAUCCUUGGUUAAAUGUCCGGUUACUUUAUGAAUGUCACAAUAUAGACUUUCAUCACGGACCCAAGUGUUUGAUCUUCCUUUCCCUUGGAAUUGCUUUCCGACGGUAUUGUUGAAGGGUUGUGACCCAAAUUUUCUUGGUCCUUUGCUCUCCCUAGGCUCGAACUUCUUGGUAGGGAUGGUGAUCGCCGGCUUUUCUUGCUUAUUUCUUUUGGCAAAACUUUCUUUUUCGUCUUCUACCUCCAUCCAGUUGUUCGCGCGGAAGAGUGCAUCCUGAAUUGUGUCCGGUUUGUGAAGUAUUAAGUCUUCUUUAAACCUUGAAUCAUGUCGCAGUCCUUUUCGUAGGGCAGAUAAAGCUGAUUGCUGCGAGAUUCUUGGGAGCUUUGACAGCACUCCUUUGAAUUUGGUGAUGAAAACUCGAAGUGACUCAUUAGAUCCUUGCGAUAAGUUCCAAAGAUCGGCAUCUGAAACGCUUUUAUCCAUAAGGAUGGAGUAUUGCUUUAAGAAUACGGCUGAUAGUUCGUCGAAAUUGCUGAUCGAACCCGGCUCUAAUUGGGUGAACCACAUUAGAGCUUGGCCACAUAGAUUCUCCGAAAACAGCUUGCAAUAGCCUGCAUCCUCAUCAGCUUCAUCCAAUUCGACUCUUCCAGCAGCGAUCAGAAAAGCUGCGAGAUAGCUUUUUGGAUCCUCCAAUCCGCUGUAAGGGUCCAAUUUGAGUUUCCGGGAAUCUUUGAUCCUCAAACUCGCAAUUCGCGAGAUGAAAGGUGUUCGCCUAGCUUCUUCAAUGACUCGAUUGAUGUCUGGCUCUGAACUUGUAGCUUGAUGAAAUUUUGAUUUCAUUUCUUUUAAUUCCUGGCUAACCUUCCUCAUGGUCUCGAACUGGUCGAGGUUCUCCUGCUCGUACUGAGCUGCAAGUUGUUCUUCAUCCCCGAGCUGCGUCUCUUCUUCCAACGUCUGAGCUACAUUAUUAGUAGCACCGGGAGUUGUUUGUCCGCUGGUUUCAUUACGUGCAGCGGAACUUGGCGAGUUGAAUAUCCCUCUUCGGAUUCCCACCGGGUUUCCUGCACUUAAAGAGCGAACACGAGUUUGUAUAGUAUUGACGUUUUGACUAAGAGAUACCUGGGAUGUUUGCAACGUAUCGACGGCCUUUUCCACGUCCGAGAACUUUUGUGAUAUGUCCGCCAUGGUUUGCUGCAUAGCUUUGAGGGUUUCGGCCAAUGAUGUCUCAGCAGCGUCUCCUCCGGACAUUGUUGUUUAUCUCGGAAGUGUGAUAAAGAAAAAAUCUGACCACUCAAGAACCUAAUGUCCCCACAGACGGCGCCAAAAUGUGGAUGUCGGAUUCACACACUCAAGUAUUUUGUUAAGUGGGAAAGAUUAUUCUUGAGGGACAAAAAUGAAUAUGUAAAAACUUAUAAAUUGAUACGAAAAUUGCUAUAGUAUUUCUCUCUUGAGAGGAAGAUCCCCCUUACAUGACCAUUGGCCUCUAUAUUUAUACAUAGAUAAACGAUAUUAAAAUGAGUAAUUAAGUACAAUUAUUCCUUCUUAAAUGUGUCCGUUUUGAUUCUUCGACUUUAAUGCUCAACGUUUGAAUUUGAGUUGACUCUGAUCUUCAUGGGCCUCGCCUCUUUUGGCCCAAGUGUCCUUGAACCGACUUACCCGUGUCUUCUACACCGAACUCGUGUCACAGUGCAGUCACUUCGGAUUCUCGAAAUGGUGACAACCACUUCGACCGUCCCUUCGGCUCACGGGUCCAAUGGGCUUCAUCUUUUAUGGGCCAUUAUCUUGAUUACGUGGCAAUCUUUGGUUGGUCUCGUACUUCUGGUGCGGGAUCCGACACCAACAGUCUCUACAAAAUCUUUCCUUAUCUAUUUAAGUAAAGAUUCUGAAAUCAAAUAUGUUCUCAACAAUUUACCAAAAAUUUCUACACAAUCUUUUUAAAAAUUUCGACUUAGUUAACUUCUGAUUUUUAUCUGCAAAAAAAAAAUUAAUUGUAACGAGUGAUGUAAAAAUCGGGAAUGUUGAUACUAUAAUUUCUUCUACUUCUUGUUUUUUCAUAUAAUAAAAAUUAUUUUUUAGGGAUAUUUUCUUAAAACCUCUAAACAAAACAAAGGGUUUCAAAAGAUAGCUUCUCUUUUGGCGGGUCGAUCCGCAAACCCGCAACUCUCUACGGGCUUAUCCGCAUGAACCUGCAACCCGUAGUGGAUAAAAAUAUUAUUCAAAAAAAAUAACAAAUGAUGUUUAAUUUUACGGGACGGGGUUAUAUGGUGCAACGGGUUUAGAUCAAUAUUAAUAUUAAAAAAUAUAUUAUGGAUGAAAUCCUAGAAUUAAAAAUCAAAAUUUAAUUAUAAAAUCAGAAACACUAAACAAAAUAAACAAUAUUAACAAAACAAAUACAACUUAAAAUUUUGCAAAAUAGUUUUUUAGUUAUAAAAAAAUUGAUCCGCGGUGUACCACGGGGUAAAAUCUAGAUUUAGAAGUUUAAGGAGAAUUUUUUUUUUUUAAAAUAGCUCUGCGGUGUACCGCAAGAAAAAUCUUUCUCCUAAACUGAGGCAAGAAGAAGAAUAAAGCCAAAUGUCGUUUAAGUGUAUAUAUAGAUAUACCAUUUAAACCUAAAACACAAUUAAUAUACUCAAAAUUAUUAAUAUAGAUAUAUGGAUGGUACAUUUAUAAAAUAGGUCAAAAUAUUAUAUUAUAUACUCUCUAUUAAUAAACAAAACUAAUUAUAUUUAGAUUUUUUAAAAAUAAUUAUAGCCCCGCGGUGUAUCGCGGGUUCAAAUCUAGUAGUUACUAAAUUCCAUGACCACAAACAAAAAAAGCCAACCAUAUAUUGUCCAUUGCAUGAAGAGGGGGCAGAGAAAGACUUACGAAGUAGAAGAAGAAAAUGAGUGAUGCAUGAGGAGUUGCUAAAGGUUGACGAGAUUGACACUGUAAGUUCGUCCCUUAAUUUUAAGAGUUGUCAAAGUCUCGAGUCAUGAUAAUCGGGAGGAGUGGUGGUCUCCUAUAAAUUAAGGUAAGGUCCUUCUUAUCUUCUUUUUUAAACUUGUCUUUGUCUUAAAUGAAAAAUGUAAUCCACCACACACAGAGUUUUCGUACGAUGACCCUAGUUAUACUAACUCAUUAGAAAGACUUUGAAGUCGUCUCCUACAAAACCAAAAAAAAAAAGUCCAAAUUUGUAUUUUUCUGGAACAAAGUGACAAGCGUGACUCUGUUUGUGAUAUGAAUCACUCGUUCGUCUUCAUGAUCUCUCUCAUUAUCUUCGUUUUGAUUUAGACAGAAUUCUGGAUUAAUUGGGUUUUAUUAUAUCUUCCUAGUUACGGUUUCACUGUUGUAGGUAAGCCAACUAACCAAGCCAGAGAGCAAGUUGCAAUAGCAGAAACUUAUAGACAAGCUCUAGUGAGCCAUUGAUUGUAGGAAUACCUGAAAUCUAAGUUCAUAGCAAAUACCUGAAAUUUUUUGUUAUUUUUUUUUUACCUGUUUAUGUCACCAAUGGAUCAACCACUCAUCUUAUAUUUCAUAAUACAAAAUUUAUGAGUUCAACUACGGAAUCUUUUAACUUAUGAUAAAUCUAAAAUAUAAAUUUGUACAUAUAAAAAUAAAAUUUGUUAAUAAAAUCAGAAAUGUCUAUACCUAAAAUUCAGUGCAAAAUUAAUUUAAGUUCCGGAAAAAAAAAAUCUAAAUUUGAAGUAUUUAUGAUUGUCGAUGUUUAAGACUCAUAAGACAAAGAUUGUUUUCGCAGGGGUCAAUAAUUAUUUCAUAUUGGAGUCACAUAUAAUGAAUAUUUUGAAUUUGUGGAGUCCCCUAUGACUCAGGCGAUUUCAAAAUAGCCUGAAAUCUUUUCCCCCGCGAUGUCUAAGUCCUAGUUAUUUUUAACAAGAAUAAAGUACUAGAAUAGUUUUUUUUUUGUUCUUUAUGUAGAUUGGUUUGGUAGGGGUCAAUAAUUAUUUCAUAAUGGAGUCACUAGCUAUACUUGUUAAUAAAGCACAUAUAAUGAAUAUUUAGUAUUUAUGGAGUCCCCUAUGAGUCACUCGUACCUCCGGCACUUAUGUAUGUUCCGUUCCGUUGACCGUGAGACACAUCCGUUGGCCUUUGUGCCUCAAUUCUAUCUAGAUCUGUUCCAGAACCAUCCAUCUCAAACCUAAAAUCAUCACAAAAAUUGUUUGAAAACACAGAUUUAAGUUACUGAAAUAUAACGUAAUGUACUCUUGCUUUAUUCAAUACUCAAUAGAGUAGAAGAGUAUUUAUACACAUACAGAUUGCCUAGUCUUGAUAGAAUCGUAUCUAAGUAACUAUAUCCUAAUAUGAAUCACUCGUUCGUCUUCAUGAUAUAUCUCUUUAUCUUCGUUUUGAUUUAGACAGAAUUCUGGAUUAAUUGGGUUUUAUUUUCUAUCUUCCUAGUUACGGUUUCAAUGUUGUAGGUAAGCCAACUAACCAAACCAGAGAGCAAGUUGAGAUAGCAGAAACUUAUAGACAAGCUCUAGUGAGCCAUUGAUUAUAGGAAAACUAGGAAUACCUGAAAUCUAACUUUAUCGCAAGUUUAUUAGUUUAUACUGUUGCUGUAUUUACAGGCAAAAAUAAUCUACGAUAGCUUGAAACUUUUUCUUUUCAUCAUGGACAUCAUACUUUAGUCAACGACUUUUAGCAAAACAUUAAUUAUUUUAUUAUAACUAGGAAAUCUACCCGUGCUUUACCGCACAGUAAAGUUAAUAGUUAGCAUUGGAAAAAGCACCAAACCAAAAUCUUAGACCAUCCCCAAACCUUUGGUGUCCAGACGAAUUCUGUUGCAACAGAUCUCCUUUCCCAAAGUGUUAUGUUUGACCACCAAAGAAUGAUUGUUAAGCAUUGCUUUGUACGUGUAUAAGGUUGAAUUAAAUUUCGAGAGAUAAGCAAACCCGUAAAAUCUCUUCUAAUUAGGCACUUUUCUGGAUUUCUACAACUACAUAUAAUUCUGAUAGAACUGUUAAAUUUGGGCUAAUUUUGGGCUUCCAACUAAAAACCAAUUGACAAUUAGUGGAUUGGCCCUAACCCUUUAUAUAUUAUUGAUUGUCCCAUCAAACUUCCGAUGUGGGACUUGGAUUGUAUCUCCAACGAGAACUAGGUAUGAAUUCUAUCAAGAUGCCACUCCUUGAAGAAACCGACAUAUCUGGUAGCUCUGUUGCUUCAAGAGAACAAAAGUCACAUUUGAUCAAUAUAUUGUCGAUGCUUUAUUCAUACGAACCAUUCCUUGCCAUGCCUUUAAAUAGGCUACAAACUCUUAGAAAUGGCGAAAAAAUACAUACCCUAUCACAAGCAAAAAAAUCUCAGAUAUGUCUUUAGACAUCAUAAAAGUCUUGAGAAAUUUACCAGCAAACUUGGGAGAAAGGUGCGACCGCUGUAGCAUGACGUGAGGGCCAAGGAUAAAUAUUGCCCAAAGGAAGAAUAAACCAGAUAUAAUGCUAAUGAUGACUAAAAGCCAUUUCACAUACCCAAUUGCAGUGAUCACGCCAAAAAGGAAUGCCAUGGGCAUGCAUAGUAAAGAAAAAAGUAGUAAGGGCAAGGCCACAUGUAAAGAUUCGCGGAUGAGUAGUGGAUCACCCAAUUGCGCCCAAAUAAGAGUACAUAUUGUUGCAACAGAACUUUGCAUUGCCAAGAUGUCAAAUAGCAGAAAAAUGAAGAGAGUCGGGUUUUUGGCCAAAGUUGCCCUGCCUAAGUUGGGUUUUUCGGCAUCGCUGUUAAACCCACCUGGUAUUGUAAAACCUGCAGCAAACGUCACUGUGGCUACAAGAGCCGCUACUAGUAGAAGAGUGCUUACGUAAUCUCUGUUAUUCUUAUGGUCUAUCGGUUCUGAUGGUAUUGUUAAUGACUCUACAGAUUCCAAACCACUUGAGUGAAUAGCGUAUAAUAAGAGCGCCAGUGUCCACCUCUGUAAUCCAAAAAAUGGGUUAAGCUAUAUAUCAUUUAUGAGGGAUCAACUGUGUUGUAUGAAACGGAAUUAGACAUACCUCAUGAAAGAUGUAGUUGGGUUUCACCUGUGACUCGGCAAUCUCCCUAGCGCUUAAGUCGCUUUUGUUUCGUAAAUUCAGUAUCUCGCUACUGUUAGCAAGAUGAGUAAUGGAGUCAAAGUGCCAGUUCAUGACGGCAAGGUGCAAAGGUGUAUUCCCGUCCACAUCUUGCCCAACACCCAAAUGUUUCGUAUCUUUAUUAUUCAUCAACCAAUCUGAAAUCCAAAAUUUACCAUUUUGUGCUGCAAUGUGGAGAACGUUCUGACCAAGUUUGUUAAGAAGGUAUUUUGAAUCUGGACAACGUUUUAUAAACUCUUCAACAAUUUUUUCAUGACCGUUUUCUGCAGCUGUAUGAAUUGGAAAGGAACCAUCUUGGUCGCAGACAUAAACACCCUUUGUUGAUCGGUCUAAGAGAUUGCAUACUUCUUCAUAAUACCCUUCAUAUGCUCCGACUGAUAGACAAGUCUUACCAUCUUUAUCUCGCUCGUCAAUAAGACUUGGAUAUUCAACAAGAAUAAAAUCAAAGACAUCUGUUCAAACAAUUGGGAACAACAAUUAGUAUACGUACUACAUAGGAAGAUUGUUAUCCUCUUGGAGAGGAAGUUGCCAUCUCAAACUGGUGUUACAUAAUUUGAACAGACUAAAUGCCUACUAGUUAAUGCGAAAAACAAACCUUUACUCUUGGCCAUCAAAGCAGCAUGUGCAAGAUAUUUUUUCCCUUGUAACUUUGAAUCUAAUUUAGACUUCUUCUCUUCAAGGUCCUCGUUGCCAGUAGUUUUCAAAAUCAAUUUCACAAGGGACACAUAUCCAAAAUAUACUGCCAUUAACAAGGAAGAUUCUCCCUUGUUAUUUCCAAGAAAAGGAGCAUCCUGGUUCGCGUUCACCAGACAUGUAGCCAUCUCGAAAUAGUGCCCUUUAAUGGCGUAGUGCAGAGCAGUAUUUCCAUUUGUGUCCUUGAGAACAUAUGGAUUCAGUCUCUCACUCUCUUCAGUACACAAUCUAGCUGAAGCAAAUGUUACCGUCUUAACAAAAGCCUCAAUAACAGGGGUAUGACCGCCAUGAGCCGCCACAUGAAGCGGUGUCUUACCUCUCGAGUUUGGCUCCAAGAGAAGGCGCGGACAUUCAGAGACAAUCUCCUUCACUAGUUCUAGAUGACCCCAUGUAGCAGCAAGAUGAAGAAUUGAAUCUCCUGUGUUGCUCUUGAGACGUGCCAUUGGCAUUCCUUGGCUUCUCAACUUCUCCAGACAUUCUUUCUUCCCAUCACUCAUUCCACUAAAAAUCUCCGGAGUCAUCUGGACAUCUUCACCAGGGAAAGCGAAAAAAUCCGACAAUCUAAGGUUAGUAAGAUACUCUGGCACAGAUUCGGUGUCUCCCGUAGGUGGAGUGGCGCCAUCUCCUCCGUUUUGAAAGGAAUCAUUUGAACGGGGUAUGUUCGUGGCGAGUAGCGGAGCUAAACAAAAAAUCAUAGUAUGUUAUUUAUUAGAUAUAUAGAAAGUUUUUGUACAAUCAUCUCUUACCCUAACUUUUACCACUUCUAACUAUUUAGUAUUUUUGCAUUGCUUAUCAAUUUUUUUUUUUUUUUUUUUUUACCGUUUUAUGUCACCAAUGGAAUCAACCACUCAUCCGUUUCAUGAUACAAAGUUUAUGAGUUCAACUAUGGAAUCUUAUAACUUAUAAAUCUAAAAUAUAAAUUUGUACAUAUCAUAAUAAAAUAAAUUAAUAAAAUCAGAAAUAUCUUUACCUAAGAUUCAAUGCAAAAUUAAUCUAAAUUUUAAGUGUUUAUGAUUUGUUGUUGUUGAUAAUUCACAAGGGAAAAAGAAUCUGGUGCGUUUGUUAGAAACAAAUUCGGUAGAUUUUUUACAAAAUCAUAGUAUAAAACUUGGAUAGGUACAUUACUAUUACAGUAGUUCUUAAUCUAUAUAUAAUAGCAAUAUAAUAAAUACCAUUUGCAUAUCUGAACGGUUGCGUCUUUUUAUCGCAAUCUUUCGUUUAAAUCGGUUAUUUUGGUUGCGUCUUUUCGUUGAUAUAUUUACGGUUGUGUCUUUUAUUGCAUCUCUUCGUUAACAUAUUUACAGUUUUUUUUACAGUUAUAUUUGUGCAAAUAACAGUCGUAUCUUUUCAGUUUACGGUUGUGUCUUCAUAGUUGCAAGAAAAAGUCGUCUCAUUUCCUUACUUCUUCUUUCUAAUUCAUUCACUUCUCAUCACCUCAUUGCUAAUAUUGCUGGGAUUCCCUCCUAACCAACUAAUCUCCUUACCUCCUAUUCCUGGGAUUACUGGGAUUACUGGUUCUCCCAUUCCCUCAAACUUCUUCAACACGACUGGGGAAGAGCGCGUCGACACUCUCCUGUGAGGAAAGUAGGUCUACCCUCUCCCCGGCCCGGUAUAAUGGAAGGAAGGGAAGGAAGGAUCGCCCUGGCAGGAAGUUCUCCCAGCUGAGUAAUCAAACCUAGGGUGUUUUCUUGUUGUUUUGUUUUGCGUCGACAUGUUUCGGGACGAAACCGGUAAAGUCCUUAAAUCAAGGAAAUCACAAUGCUUCUCUUAUUCAGUAGUUCAAUCUUACUUUCUUACCCCGCCGGGGAAGCGUUGAAUGAAUGUGUAAUGAUUCAUUUAAAGUUAUGUCUCAUAUUAUAUAGAUUUAAAUUUUGGUUUUAAAACUAAAACAUAUAUUAUAUGGUUGUUUUUUCAAAAAGUUGCAAUCUGAAUAAAUAUUUUCUACGGUUGCAUCUUUUUAUCGUAACACCUCAUAAACAAUUGCGAUGUUUAGUUGAACCAUUGCAACAUGUACUUUAUUUAACAAACAAUUAUAAUUUUUGAUUUAUUUUAUAAAUCGUUAAAACAUUUAAUUUUUGAAAAACUAAAAAUAUAUAUUAUAAGGUUGAAUUUUUUUAGAAAGUUGCGAUCCGAAUAAAUGUCUUCUACGGUUACUUUUUUUUUUUAUCGUAACUUUUCGUAAACGGUUGCAACCGUUUAGUUGAACCAUUACAACAUUUAGUUUAUUUCACGAACAAAUGCAACUCUUGGUUUAUUUUAUAAACCAUUAUAACAUUUAAUUAUCUAAAGUCACGUCUUUCGGUAUAACUCUCUCUAAACUAUUAUUUCAGUUUUAGUUACUAAAAUAUAAUUAAAUGAAAUUUUAAACGUUUAAUUGAACCGUUGCAAUAUUUGGUUUAUUUGACAAAUUAUUGCAAGUUUUGGUUCUAUUUUAUGAACCGUGGUAAUCUUUAGUUUAUUUGACGAACCAUUGCAACAUUUGGUAUAUUCUACGGUCACUUCUUUUGGUUAUAGUUCUUCAUCAAAUUUUUAAUUUUAAUUACUAUAAAUGAAUAUGUUGCUACCGUUUAAUAGAACAUAGUAACAUUUGGUUUAUUUGACGAACCAAUGAAUAUUUUGGAUUAUCUAAUGAACCGUUGUAACAUUUGGUUUAUUUGAUGAACUGUUACAGUAUUUGAUAUAUUUGAUGAAUCAUUGCAACUUUAGUUUAUUUGAUGAAUUAUUACAACUUUAUGUAUAUUUGAUGAACCGUUGCAAUAUUGCCUUUUGUGAUACAUUUUUUAGGGCAUUAACUAAGACUUUUUUUUUUUGAAUAAAGCAUUAACUAAAGUUAUAUCUGUUCAUCUAGAGUAUUAUCUUAUCACCAUGUUUUAUUCGUGUUUUUAGCACAUACACUUAGUUCUAAUAAUUGUGUCUUUUACAAACAAUUUAUCUAUUUAAACUUUCAUCUCUAUGAAGAUUGUCUCUUUUUAACAUAAUACAAUUAAAAAUAUUACGUCUUUUUAUCGUAAUAUUUUGAUGAAUAUAUUUUUAUAGCUAGUUAUAUUUAUAAUAGUUUAGAAAAUUGAAAAAUUGCUUCUACUCAUUAUAACUUUUUGUGUAAUAAUUUUUAUUUAUGGUCGUAUUGUUUCACCAUAAUAUUUUCUAAUAAUAAUACAAUUCUUAAAAAGUAUUUGUGAGAGUUUACGUUUCUUUAUCAUAUUUUUUUUUGUAAAAUAUAUAUAUCUUUAUUUAUUGUUAAAAAAUAUUGUUUUGAAACUUGUUGUCUCAAUUCAUUAUGACAUUUCGUUUUUCUUCAAAAUAGCCUGAAAUCUUUUUCCCCGCGAUGUCUAAGUCCUAGUUAUUUUUAACAAGAAUAAAGUACUAGAAUAGUUUUUUUUUGUUCUUUAUGUAGAUUGGUUUGGUAGGGGUCAAUAAUUAUUUCAUAAUGGAGUCACUAGCUAUACUUGUUAAUAAAGCACAUAUAAUGAAUAUUUAGUAUUUAUGGAGUCCCCUAUGAGUCACUCGUACCUCCGGCACUUAUGUAUGUUCCGUUCCGUUGACCGUGAGACACAUCCGUUGGCCUUUGUGCCUCAAUUCUAUCUAGAUCUGUUCCAGAACCAUCCAUCUCGAACCUAAAAUCAUCACAAAAAUUGUUUGAAAACACAGAUUUAAGUUACUGAAAUAUAACGUAAUGUACUCUUGCUUUAUUCAAUACUCAAUAGAGUAGAAGAGUAUUUAUACACAUACAGAUUGCCUAGUCUUGAUAGAAUCGUAUCUAAGUAACUAUAUCCUAAUAGUUACUAAAUUCCAUGACCACAAACAAAAAAAGCCAACCAUUGUCCAUUGCAUGAAGAGGGGGCAGAGAAAGACUUACGAAGUAGAAGAAGAAAAUGAGUGAUGCAUGAGGAGUUGCUAAAGGUUGACGAGAUUGACACUGUAAGUUCGUCCCUUAAUUUUAAGAGUUGUCAAAGUCUCGAGUCAUGAUAAUCGGGAGGAGUGGUGGUCUCCUAUAAAUUAAGGUAAGGUCCUUCUUAUCUUCUUUUUUAAACUUGUCUUUGUCUUAAAUGAAAAAUGUAAUCCACCACACACAGAGUUUUCGUACGAUGACCCUAGUUAUACUAACUCAUUAGUGUUGGUUAAGCUUGAGAAGUAAACCGACAAUUACUUGAACCGCAAGGCAACGGUUUAAUGAAGUGAUAAGGCUAGAUCUUUUAGGAGUUAUCUAUAAGAUUUAAUGUAAUCCUAGUCGAGUUAUGAUUAGGGUUUUGAGGUUUACUAUAUAAGCAUAUAUCGGGUUGUGAUAUAGCUUAAGAGAAUUGAGAGAGAUUAAGAAGUACUUUAGUUUGAGUUAGUUCUAAAGUUAAUAAAGAAGGUGUUUUCUUAAACGUGUUCUUAACUUCUUAUUCAUAUUAUUCAAUUCUAGAUUUGGUAUCAGAGCUAUCUAGCUUUGUUUCUAAACGUGUGAGAUAUGAGUGAAUUGGCCACGACGAGUGACCAACCAAAGGAGGGAGGAUCUUCAUCUAUAAAAUGUCCGAUGUUAACAACUUCCAACUAUACAGUUUGGGUCAUGAGGAUGAAGGCAGCCCUCCGAGUCCAUAAGGUGUGGGAAACAAUCGAUCCCGGUUCCAACGACGUAGAGAAGAAUGAUAUGGCCCGUGCUCUAUUGUUCCAAUCUAUACCAGAGUCGAUGAUCCUACAAGUUGGAGAACAUGAAACUGCAAAAGGUGUCUGGGAUGGCAUAAAAGCCAGAAACCUUGGUGCUGAACGAGUGAGAGAAGCAAGAUUACAGACUCUUAUGAAUGAGUUUGAUAGGCUGAAGAUGAAAGAAAGUGACACAAUUGAUGACUUUGCAGGGAGAAUCUCUGAGAUUUCUACAAAAGCAGCAUCCUUAGGGGAAAAUAUUGAAGAAACAAAGGUUGUUAAGAAGUUUCUCAAGAGCUUACCUAGGAAGAAAUACAUCCAUAUAAUCGCAGCUCUAGAGCAAGUUCUUGAUCUCAAGAAAACAACCUUCGAAGAUAUUGUAGGAAGACUCAAAACAUACGAAGAUAGAGUUUGCGAUGAAGAAGACUCGCAGGAAGAUCAAAGCAAACUCAUGUAUGUCAGCUCAGAGUCACAAGAUGGAGGCAGAGGAAGAGGCCGCGGUCGUUUUGGAAGAGGCCGAGGCAGAUUUGGUUACCAAUCCAGAGAAUAUGGAUAUCAACAGAAAGAGUUUGUUCAAAGAGACAAGCCCAAAGUGACUUGUUACCGAUGUGACAAAACAGGGCAUUAUGCUUCUAAUUGUCCGGAUAGGCUUUUAAAAUUGAUCAAGCUUCAAGAGACACAAGAGAAAGAGGAAGAUAAUACUGAAGACGCAGAAUCUCUUAUGAUGCACGAAGUAGUAUACUUGAAUGAGAACAAUGUGAUGCCUAAAAAACUUUGAAGUAUGUUCUGAAAAAACUUGGUAUCUUGACAAUGGGGCGAGCAAUCACAUGACAGGACAGCGUGCUUGGUUUUACAAGAUGAAUGAGAUGGUCACAGGUAGAGUAAGAUUCGGAGACGAUUCGUGUAUUGACAUAAAAGGAAAGGGCUCGAUACUCUUCUUGACUAAAACUGGUGAAAGAAAAAUCCUAGAAGAUGUGUAUUACAUACCCGAUCUCAAAAGUAAUAUCAUAAGUUUAGGACAAGCCACUGAGUCAGGGUGUGACAUUCGAAUGAAAGAAGAGUAUCUAACCCUACAUGACCGAGAUGGAAAUUUGCUAGUAAGAGCAACAAGAUCAAGAAAUCGAUUGUACAAGGUAAUUUUAGAAGUUGAAGAAACUAACUGCUUACAGCUUGUAACAUCAAGCGACUCAACUAUAUGGCAUGCUCGUCUUGGACACAUCAAUCUUGAGACACUUAAAACAAUGGUUGCAAAAGAGAUGGUUAAAGGAAUACCAACUGCUCCAAAAGAAAAAGAAACAUGCCCAUCUUGCUUACUUGGAAAACAAACAAGGAGGACGUUUCCAAAAGCAACUGUGUAUCGGGCAUCACACAUUCUUGAGUUGGUGCAUGGUGAUCUCUGCGGUCCUAUAUCACCCUCUACGGCUGCUAGAAAGAGGUACAUAUUCGUGUUGAUAGAUGAUCAUUCUCGCUACAUGUGGUCAAUUUUGUUACAAGAGAAAGGAGAAGCAUUUGAGAAGUUUAAGAAUUUCAAGAAAAGAGUUGAGCAAGAGAGUGGUGAAAAAAUCAAAACAUUGAGAACAGACAGAGGAGGUGAAUUUUUAUCUCAUGAAUUUCAAGAUUUUUGUGAAAAAGAAGGAAUCAACAGGCAUUUAACCGCACCAUAUAGCCCUCAACAAAAUGGAGUGGUUGAAAGAAGAAAUAGGACUUUGCUAGAGAUGACUAGAAGCAUUCUGAAACAUAUGAGUUUGCCUAAUUAUUUAUGGGGAGAAGCUGUCAGGCACUCAACAUAUCUAAUAAACCGAGUAGGAACUAGAGCCUUAGUUUACCAAACUCCAUAUGAAGCAUUCAAGAACAAGAAGCCAAACUUAGAACAUGUGAGAGUAUUCGGAUGUGUUAGCUAUGCCAAAGUUGAUGGACCACAUUUACGAAAACUUGAUGAUAGAUCGAGAGUUCUCGUACAUCUCGGGACAGAACCUGGCUCAAAGGCAUACAGACUACUUGAUCCAACCACUCGGAAAAUCACAGUAAGCAGAGACGUCAUCUUCGAUGAAAGCAAAAGUUGGAAGUGGAAAGACUCCGAGAAAACUAGUCAAGAAACAGGAACUUUUAUAUUCAGUUUUGGAGAGUUUGGUAAUCAUGGAAUUGAUGAUAAUGGAGCUAAUCAAGAAACAGAGGAAAACAGAGAUGUUGAGAAUGGAUCUGACAGAGAGGAAGCAGUAGGAGCUGACGAAUCUGAGACUAACAAUGCUGAAACUGAGCAGCCACAACCUCCACCGUUGCUAAGAAGGUCUGGGAGACAAGUUGCAAGGCCAACCUAUCUAAGUGACUAUGUAUUACUCGCAGAAAUAGAAGGAGAACAGCUUCUACUUAUGUUGAAUGAAGAACCAUAUGAUUUCAUAGAAGCAAACAAAUCGCAAGAGUGGAGAAAUGCGUGUGAAGAGGAGAUCAUGUCUAUAACAAAGAACAAAACUUGGAGUCUUGUUGAUCUCCCUGUUGGAAGUAAACCCAUUGGUCUUAAGUGGGUUUUUAAACUAAAACGUAACUCAGAUGGGAGCAUAAAUAAACACAAGGCAAGAUUAGUAGCAAAAGGAUACGUGCAAAAACAUGGAGUUGAUUUCGAUGAAGUCUUCGCCCCUGUAGCUCGAAUUGAAUCAAUCCGUCUUAUCAUUGCCUUAGCAGCCUCGAACGGGUGGGAAAUACACCAUUUAGACGUGAAAACCGCCUUCCUUCACGGAGAACUGAAAGAAGAUGUUUAUGUUACUCAACCAGAGGGUUUUGUAACCAAAGGAAGAGAGGAAAAGGUCUAUAAACUACACAAGGCUCUUUAUGGCUUGAGACAAGCACCAAGGGCAUGGAACACCAAACUCAACAAGAUCUUGAGAGAUUUGAACUUUGAAAAAUGUUCUAAAGAACCCUCCCUUUACAGAAAACAAGAGAAGGAUACUCUCCUCAUUGUAGCGGUAUAUGUUGAUGACUUGUUAGUCACCGGCUCCAGCUUAGAUUUGAUAAAUGCUUUCAAGAAAGAGAUGUCGGGAAAGUUUGAAAUGAGUGACUUGGGUAAGCUUACCUACUAUCUUGGUAUUGAAGUUUUUCAAGGAGAAGGUGGAAUAGUGUUGAAACAAGAAAGAUAUGCAAGGAAGAUUUUGGAAGAGGCUGGAAUGAGUGAAUGUAAUGCGACUCAAACACCAAUGACAGCGGGUUUAGAACUUUCUAAGGCACAAGAAGAAAAACAGGUCAAUGAACUAGAUUACAGAAGAAAUAUUGGGUGUCUUAGGUACCUACUACAUACACGACCUGAUCUCUCUUUUAGUGUUGGAAUAUUAAGCAGAUACUUACAAGAGCCAAGAGAGUCACACGGGACUGCGUUGAGACAAAUUCUGAAGUAUAUCCGAGGCACUCUUGAACAUGGUCUCUGUUUUAAACAAGGAACAGAGUUGGGACUAAUUGGUUACAGCGACAGUAGUCAUAGUGUUGACGUCGACGAUGGGAAAAGUACCGCAGGACAUGUGUUUUACCUUAAUGAAUGUCCGAUCACGUGGUGCUCUCAAAAACAACAAGUUGUGGCACUAUCUUCUUGUGAAGCUGAGUUCAUGGCGGCAACGGAGGCAGCUAAGCAAGCGAUUUGGCUUCAAGAAUUGCUAGCCGAGAUCAUUGGUACAAUGAGUGAAAAGGUAACCAUACGAGUAGACAACAAGUCAGCGAUUGCAUUGACUAAGAAUCCGGUGUUUCAUGGAAGAAGCAAACACAUUCACCGGAAGUACCAUUUUAUACGAGAAUGUGUUGAAAAUGAGCAAAUUGAAGUUGAGCACGUGCCGGGUGAAAAACAGAAGGCGGACAUAUUGACAAAGGCUUUGGGAAGAAACAAGUUUAAAGAGAUGAGAGAUCUCAUUGGUGUUCAAGACGUGAAGAAGCUUGAGCUCAAGCUUAAGGGGGAGAUUGUUGGUUAAGCUUGAGAAGUAAACCGACAAUUACUUGAACCGCAAGGCAACGGUUUAAUGAAGUGAUAAGGCUAGAUCUUUUAGGAGUUAUCUAUAAGAUUUAAUGUAAUCCUAGUCGAGUUAUGAUUAGGGUUUUGAGGUUUACUAUAUAAGCAUAUAUCGGGUUGUGAUAUAGCUUAAGAGAAUUGAGAGAGAUUAAGAAGUACUUUAGUUUGAGUUAGUUCUAAAGUUAAUAAAGAAGGUGUUUUCUUAAACGUGUUCUUAACUUCUUAUUCAUAUUAUUCAAUUCUAGAAUUAGAAAGACUUUGAAGUCGUCUCCUACAAAACCAAAAAAAAAAGUCCAAAUUUGUAUUUUUCUGGAACAAAGUGACAAGCGUGACUCUGUUUGUGAUAUGAAUCACUCGUUCGUCUUCAUGAUCUCUCUCAUUAUCUUCGUUUUGAUUUAGACAGAAUUCUGGAUUAAUUGGGUUUUAUUAUAUCUUCCUAGUUACGGUUUCACUGUUGUAGGUAAGCCAACUAACCAAGCCAGAGAGCAAGUUGCAAUAGCAGAAACUUAUAGACAAGCUCUAGUGAGCCAUUGAUUGUAGGAAUACCUGAAAUCUAAGUUCAUAGCAAGUUUAUUGUAUUAGUUUAUACUGUUGCUGUAUUUACAUUCUACCGGGAAAAAUAAUCAACGAUAGUUUGAAACUUUUUCUUUUCAUGGACAUCAUACAUUAGUCAACGACAUUUGACAAAACAUUAAUCCCUUAGCAUUUUUAAAAAAUAACCUUACCCUCACAUGUGAUUAACGAAAAUGCCAUGAUGACGUGUCGAGUUUAUAGAGCUCCUUAACCCAUUUAAUUAAUUGUCCAUCCUUUACUAUACUAUUUACAUCAAUUUGCCAUUGAUAUUAAUAACACUUAUUUUACUCAUUAAUUAAUCCAAAAAAAAUUACAUCAUCCAUUAUAUUGGUUACCACGAUUCCACUUAAUUCAAAUUCUUCCACUGAUUAUAGUAUUUGGUAACUAUAAGUUAAUAACAGAAUUUAUAAUUACCUCAAAACUCUCAUUAUGGACUCUAUCAUUUUACCAUAUUCGUAUAAUUUUACUAUGUACUACUACAUGUACCAUAACAAAAGAAUAUUAAGAUAUAUUAAUUAACUUAUCCAAAAAAAUCCUUACGAAAAUAUAAAUAUAAAGAAACUAUGAUACUUUAUAUGAAAUAUCGAUUUAAAACUUUUAAGAAGUAGAAAAUGUAGGAAUGAUAUUGUGGAAUAUAUAUGGAACCCAUAAUACUUUCAAUCUCUAAGGUUUUAUUUAGUUGAUCAAAUAUUAAUGAAUUUUUUUACCAAGAGUCUACAUGUAAUCAUAUAGUGAAGCAUUUUAGUUUUGAUGUUUGAUGACUGCGGUCACACGUAACACAAAAUAUAUGAAUUUAAUUAUUAAAUACACAAAAAGAUAUAUGUGCCAUAAAUGAUAAUAUUUCAUCAAUAUUUUCUCCACAAGGAAGUAUUUACCACGCUCAAAUAUUUUACGGGUGAGUAAAAAAUUUUAUACAAAUUAUUUGCAAAUUUAAAUAAAACAAUAAACUUUUGUUAUAUAUUUUGUUUUAUACAAACGGAAUUUGGAUCCCAUAUAAUAAUUUUACUUAAAUUGUUUCAUUCCGCACAUAGUGCGGGUUGUUUUCUAGUUAUUUUAUUAAUUUGUUGCAUAUCACUACAUUUUACCUUUUAACAUAAGAUAAAAGUUACUUUAUUUUACUACUUUGGUUUGUAUAAGAUAGUAUGCUAUAUUUACAUAUUACUUAAGUUCCACAUGUAUACAAAUUAUAUAUAUAUAUAUAUAUAUAUAUAUAGAUAAAAGUUUACAUAAUUAUUAUACAUAUGUAUCAAUACGAUAUAAUAUGUACAAAUACUAUAUAAUAUAUAUUUUCACAAAAGUAAUAUAAUAUAUCAUUAUAACUUUAUAUAUGAAAUUUACUAUUUAUCAUAUAUUUGAUAUGCCAUUUUAUUUAACAUAUAUAAAUUUUUAAAAUUCACACACUUAAAAUCUAAAUCCACAAUAUUAAACUAGUAUACCAUUAGGUCCAUUACCAAUCAUACAUACAUCUAAAUCCACAAUAUUAAACUAGUAUACCAUUACGAAUCAUACAUACAUCUAAAUCCAACAUACAUACACUCUAAAUUUUACAACAAUCAAUCUACAUCUAUAGUUUAAAACUUUAAAUGGAAACUCUCCUGAUUCAGAGUGCAUAUGCCGUCUUACGAAAAGCUUGGAAAGAGCAUAUAAAGGCAAGGAGCAUUUAUGGAAGCAAUGCAACCAUAUUCAAUGGGAUCGUAAUACCACCAUAUUUUCCGAUGUUCUUAGAAGAUGUAGAAGAACUUCUGUUUCUUUCCAUGCAAUGCCAACUGGUAGGUUGAUUAUUUCUUUAGCAAAGCAGGCACUUUUGGCUAUAUACAAUUGGUCAAUUGCUAGCUGAAAAAUAAAAUCUCUGACCCAAAUAAAAAUUAAAAUUAAAAAACCCGGAAGAUUGGAACCUGGUUUAGUGGCUCAAGAACACAUGAAGUUCAUUUUUUUUUUUUUUUUUGAAUAACCGCGGGUCUCCCAAAGGCUUCUUAGGCCCAAGGACUAAUCACACGAGGCUGGCAAUUCCCCUAUGUAAACCUGCCAGUGGCCGUGCCUUGAACCCCGGUGGCGGAAGUCACAGCUGUGACCCCUUUACCACUAGGCCACAAAGCCCGGUUCACAUGAAGUUCAUUUACCUACAUAACCCGCUCAAAAAUCAAAAUAUUACCCAUAAUAACCAAUGUGCUAUUAGUCUCAGGAUCCGUAGAUGUAAAUAUGUAAUAAAGUGAUCUUAAUAGGAAAGUGUCAUGGCGAGUUGGGGAUGUUGGACUUUGAAAUAAGCCGUCGUGGAUCCAGAAACCAAAGUGUUAUGUUAAGAUAAGUGUGUAAGAUUGAAUCAACAAACAAAAAAAAAUGUACGAGUUGUACAGACCAUAUAGUGAUCAGUCCACAUCUUAUUUAAUUAUGAAUUAAGAGCUGGUGGUACUGGUGGCUCAAGCAAACUUCUAAAGGACCGAAAGAAACAGUACAGUCCAUAUCUCAUCUAACUUCGGGCUAUUAUUCGAGAGAUAAGCAAAGCGGUAUCCACUAAACCUUAUAUAAAUAACUGCGUCAUUUUAGAAGACAGUUUCUUCUAAUUCUACAACUACAGAUAGUUCUGAUAGAAUUAACUUCGUAUGAAUUCUAUAAAGAUGUCGCUUCUUAUAGAGAAUGGAAGAUCUCCUAGCUUUGUUGCUUCAAGAGAACAAAAAUAUUCUUGAUGCUUUAUUCAUAAUUUCAUACAAAAUAUGCCUUAACUCUUAGUAACAACCACAAAAUAUUAUCCUUAUCAACUUCGCAAUAAGCUCAAAGAUGGUUUUAUACUGCAUAAAAGUUACGAGAAAGAAACCAGCAUUAUUGGGAGAAACGUAUGGCCGCUGUAGAAUGACGUGAGGACCAAGGACAAAGAUCGCCCAAAAGAAGAAUAAAAGAGAUAUAAUACAAAUGAUGGCUAAAAGCCAUUUCACAUGCCCAACUGCAGUGAUCAAGCCAAAAAGGAAUGCCAAGGGCAUGC
rnacentral:lncRNA from 1 species